rnacentral:lncRNA from 1 species
GAUUUCAAAUAUGUUUUACUAAAAUAUUAGAUAUCAUAUUAAAUCUAUUUACUUUUUCAAUUGCUGCUAUUCUAAAAUUAAUUAAUGUUUUAGUUAAAUAAUAACACAUUUUAUAAGCAAGUUAAAUAAUGACACUUAAACUAGACAAUUAAGUUAUCAAAACGGAUAUCAAAGUUUAAGAAAACCCACCCAUUUAUUUAAGAGUAUUUUUAUAAAAUAUGUAUAAGUAAUUUGAAAAUAAAGUGGUUAAUAAGUUCUACCUAAAGACAAUCAUUAAAGGAAAUCUAAGUUCAAUUCUUAGAUUGAACAAUUUUUUUGUCAGACUUACCUUCAAAUCGAACUUCGAAUUAUUAAAAAUCAAAUAUUAACACAAAAUAAAAAAGUGUUUCAAUAAAUAAAACACAAUUUACUUAAAAUCAACGUACUAGUUAUUUUCUAAAUAACCAUGUAAAACUAAAAAUGACACUUAAGCAAUAAAAUUUAAUUCACUAUAUUUUUUGUGCAACAUCCUUCCAUUUAAUUCACUACUUUAUAACUUACUCAAUUUUAAUGAUAUUCUAGUUAUUACUCAAGCAAUACAAUUUGCAAGCUAUUUUGUUAAUUGUUCUCUAUUAAUGCAGUAGUUAUAUAUUGUAAAUAAACCCACUUCUUUGUAUUUGAAACCACCUUAAGUGAACUUGUAAAAAUAAGAUGAACUUGAAGUUACAACUUCAACCUUCACCAUAGCAGAACCACGCACUUAUUGUUCAAACAAAUUGAAACAGGUGAUGUACUUUUGUCUUUAUACUAAAACCAAUAAAAAAAUUAACGAAUUAAUGGAACUCAAGUGGUUAAUGAACUUCCUUACAAGAGAAUCCGAUUACGAUUCUUGUGAAUCGAAGGAUUAACAAAAAAGAACUAAUAAAGAUUAUGUGUAAGAUUGCACAGGUACCAAAAAAAAAUUACAAAAACAUUUGUAUGAUUUGUUUUCUUAAAACACACAAGAUUUUAGAACUCUAAAAGAGGUUCUUAUUAUGUUUGAAGUAAUAUUGAGUUUGAAAGUUAACUUCCAUAAAAGUAUGUUGGUUGAGGUAAAUGUUUCUGAGUUGUGGUUAAAUUAGGCAGUUUUGGUGAACUGCAAAAGUGGGAAACAUGCCAUUUUAUGUAUUUAGACUUGACGAUUUGGGGAGAUUUUCGUCGUUUACGGUUUUCGAGCCCUUUGCUUGACCGAAUUAAAGAAUGGCUUUUAGGAUGGACAACUCACUAUUUAUCAAUGGAGGGUCGUCUGGUUCUCUUGAAGUUUGCAUUGUCUUCUCUAUCCCUCUAUUUUCUUUCCUUCUGCAAGGUUUCCACAUGUAUCUUCUCUUCUAUUAAAUCUAUUGUUUUUUGUUUUUUUUUGCGGGGGAGAAAAUUAGAAAAAUACCUUGAACUAAAUGUGAAAUUGUUUGCUUAGAAAAGGAGGAUUAGAGGUUUAGAUGAUUCAGGAAUUCAACUUGUCAUUGUUAGGUGUUGAAGGUUGUAUGUGAUAGGGAUAGUUUAUGGGUUAAGGUGCUCGAAACAAAAGUAUAGGGCGAAUGGGGAUUGUAUUAGAGAAGGCAGACGAUUAUGAUAAGUUUGGUGGAGGCAGAUGGGAGAAAUUUGUAGGGGUGAUGGGUUCACGAUUGGGAGAUGGUUUGAUGACAAUUUAUUGAGGGUUGCUGGAGAUGAGACAAAAACGUUCUUUCAAUCGUAUUCUUUUUAUAACAUUAUUUAAAUUAUUAAUUAAAAAUAAGUUGAAUCCCAUUAAAAUAGGACAACACCACUGCAAUAAGAAUUGAAACUUUUAUUCUUUAUCAAAUAAAAAAAAAGAAUUUUAAUUAUUAAUUAAAAUAGUUUUUUUAAGGAAUUAAAAUAUAGUUAAAUCACAUUGAAAUAGUAACAACACAACUGCAAUAAAAAAGAAUUGGACACUAAUAAGCUAAUUUUAACUUAAUUAGCCACUUGUCAAAAAAAAACUUAAUUAGCCAAUUUUUUUUUUGAAGUGAAGCCAAAAGAAUUUGAUAAGUAUUCUUUUUGAGAAAAAAAAAACAUAUUUGACAAGUCAUAUAAUUGAUAUUUUUCUUACUCACAAUAGUUCAAUAGAAAAACAGACGGAUAAUGUUGUAUUGUAGAUAAUUGUCUUUUUAAAAUAGAUAGUACAACUAAUUAGUACUUUUCUAAGGAACACAUGUAUGUGUUAAGUCAGAUUUGAUAUAAGUGUUUUAGAUUUACAAUGAUGUCAACGGAUCCUGACUUAUAUAUAUGUGUGCGUGUGUUUUGUUAACUUACUUCUACUUACUUUUAACCAAAAACUCAACGAGUGUUUCAGGUCACUCUUUAAAAAUUGGCUUAAUUACACUUUUGGUCCUACCAUUUUGACCAACUCACGAAAAUGGUCCUAUCUUUUUUAAAUCGAACAAAAUCGUCCUUAAACUAUAUGUUUUUUUACAGUUUUAGUCAUAUCUCCCUAUUUCCAACUCCAUAAACGCACAUAAAUGACAGUUUUAGUCCAACCACCUACGUUCAACCAUCAAAUAAACAAAGAAUAAAAUAUGUGGGUACAAGAAAUCUACUUUAUUUAGCACACUAACCUAAUUUCCGAGACAUGUUACAUAUCUGAAAUAUGUCUUAGAAAUUAGGGUUUUUCUUGGUUUGUGUGCCGAACAAAGUAGAUUCCUUGUACCCACAUGAUUUAUUCCUUGUUCAUUUCAUGGUUGAGCAUAGGUGGUUGGACUAAAACUGUCAUUUUUGUGUGUUUCUGGAGUUGGAAAUAGGGAGAUAGAACUAAAACUGCAAAAAAAAAUAUAGUUCAGGGACGAUUUUGUUCGAUUUAAAAGAGAUAGGACCAAUUUCGUGAGUUGGUCAAAAUGCAAGGACCAAAAUUGUAAUUAAGCCUUAAAAUUUUCAAAUUGUGUAGUUAUUUUUUUAAAAACUCAAAUAUUUAAAUUUCCAAUGCACUGGAUACACAAAAAAAAUUGUCUUAAAAACUCGUUACCAUUUCCCAAAACUCAAUAUCAGCUUUUAUGAAACUACUUAAAUGCAUGGACAAAAAAUGUCAUUUACAAUUUAACUAAAGAUUUUUUUUCUUCGGCAAAACGAUAUAAUUGAUUUUUUACUAACUAGCUAAAUUGAGUUUUACACAACUACUCUCUCUAUUUCAAAAUACACGUCGCAUUCAACAUCUUCAUACAUGUCAAUUUACAACUUUGACGGUUUCAAAAUAAUGUUUUUUAUAACUAGGAUGCAUCUAUUAAAUCAUUUAAAUGGGCCCAAAUUCAAACCUUUCUCUUGGCCCAUGAUGUACAUUCUGGACUUUUCUCUCAAAAAACAAAAAAAAAAAAAACUAUUUGUGACAUUUUUCUCUUCAAUUGAAAAGACAAAAACGUAACUGAAAAGACAACAUUUUUCUCUUUGUACGGUAUGGUAUUUUGAUUUGUUGAUUUCGGUUUAUUUAACUUGCUGAUUUCGGUUGUGUAUUGUUCUCAGGUUCAAUUAUUGUUCUUCUCAGGCACUUUUGCUUUGCUGAUUUGUUCUCAUGUUAUGUAUUCCAAUUAUUGAUCUCAUGUACCAAAAUGAUAUUUAGAAACUGGUGUAAUCGAAAAUACAUUGAUACAAUAAUUUCUCCUUUUUUUGUGCUAUUUUUCUCGAGUGUUAAAAUUCCAGUCUACUUUUAUGAUGCAUUGUAUAAGGAGCACUUUUCUCAUAUUAUAACUAAAACCUAUAAAACACUAGGAACGACAUUGCUUGUAUCAAAAUACGUAAAUAUUUAAAGUUUAAUUAAAUUUUAAUUUUUUUAAACUCAAAUUUUAUUGUUCAUCUUUUUUUUUUUAGUUUGAGUGUUACAAUAUACCAAUGUGGGAGACAUAUUUUAAAUUUAUUUAGAAAACUAUUAAUUCAAAAAAAAAAAAACAACUAUGAAAAACAUUUAAAAUAUUUGGUAUAUAUCAUUGUCAAAAACACGAAAACGAAAAGAAAAUAGACAAGAAAUAAAAUGAAGAUUAAACAGCAUGAUGAAAACAUGCAAUGGUGACACAAAAAUUUCAACUAUUAGUCUCUUUUUAAAUGAGACAUAACUGAAAUUUUGUUCAUUUAUUUAAACAUAAAAAAGAUCUGAAAAUUACGAUGUGAAACACAUAGUUCAUUUAUUCAAAUAUUAAAAAGACUCGAAAAAUUAAGAUGACGAACACUCAAGUGCUAGGGGAGAUAUCCCAAUGCAUGCCAUUCACAUCAGUUGGAAGAGGAAGCAUUUGCUGAUUCAGGUGAGCCGAAUCAACACCCAUGACACCAAAAUUUGGCGCAAAAUCUUCAGCAAUUGGGGUGACACCACCAACACAUCUUGUGUUCUCAUCUUCAAUUUCCUGAUAAAUUCCAUUGAUGACAGCCACCCUAUGAAACUCUGGAUUUUUCAAAAGAGUGGCUGUAAUGAAAACAGCACCGGCAGCCUUGACCUUACCCCCAACGAUUCCACCAAACACGUAAUUGCCAUAAUUGGCCUUCACAUAAAUAGAAAAGGAGGAACAUGCUGGCUCAGCUAUUAAUUGGGGAGGAACACGACCAUAUGUCGCAUUCAUGUAAGUUCCAAAUAAGGAUGUCAUUUUGUAUGUUCCUUUAGUUGGAAAAUUAGGUGUACGUAAUAUCGGGUGCAAAAAUGUGACAUUCGAAACAAGACCAGAAGCACUUAACACUGUGAUUCCAGCUUGACGAUACAGAGACAAAUUGAUGAGAGUCUCCACAACAUCAUUACCCUUAGGGAUCUCAAUGACAAUCAAUUCCAUGAGGUUGUCAGUGUUUUCCUUAACAAUGAUGGGUGCUUUGGCCUUGUUCUUUGAGCCAAUGGGUCUACCCUUAGGCUUUUUCGAGGAGGUUGGUUGAGAGACCAUGUCUAGUCUCUUAUCUCCUCUCAUGAUAGAGGAGCUACCUGAGAGUGUGGACACUAAUUUGUUGUGAACAGAUAAAUUUUUGGAGUUUGGGAAGAGUGAUGACGAUACUUGUUUAUUGUUCGUCAUAAUGGAGGAUAUGUAUUUUUAUGAAGAGAUUAACAAUGUGACCUAGUAUUUAUAAUAUUUGUCUUGAAAUUUGUAUUAAUACCCACUAAUAUGUUUUUUUGUAAUAAAAAUUAUUAUAGUCAAGAAAUCAAAGUCGUUAGUCGUCGGUCAACAUCAAAUGAAUCAUAUUUUGUCAAAAAAAAUAAAAAUCAAAUGAAUCAUAUUUUAAUCUCGUCAAAUUGGAUUUAAAAAAUCAAACCAAUUAAUACGAGAUUACUUUUUUAAUGAAAUAUACAAGAAUUGUGUUAUGUUACUUUAACAAAUUUGAUUUUAUGACUACUUAAUAAUUUUUUUUUGGUACAAUGACUACUUCAUAUUUAUUUUAUAUUAUAACUACAUAUAUUGCGUAAUAAUUUUUAGAGUAAAUUAUACUCCUCUUCUUUAAGAGAAGCUUGAAUUACACUCCCCUCCUCUCUUAUGUUAAAAUAUACACUUUCCUCCCUUGAAAAGUAAAAUUUAUACUCCCCUCCAUUAUAAGAUUCUUGAAUUACAACUCCCUCCCUUAAUAAUUAAAUAUGCACUACACUUUAAUUUAUUUUAACAUAAAUAAAUAUUUUUAUGAUAUAUACUAAUUUUGAACUACCAUUUAAGAAAAAAAAUUCAUUUCUUUAUAAUUUAAAUGGCAAUGAUAAUUAAAUUUAAAUAUUUUGCUAUUAAUUUUAUAAUUUAGAGUAUAAAAUUAAAUUUUAAAUAACCAUGCUUUAUUAUUUUUAGUAAUUUUUCACAUAUUUUAAUUUUAUUAUGGGUUAUUUCAUAUUUUAUUAUAGGUUUAAAACUACACGUUAAUGAAAUAGACCCGCAAUACGUAUUUAAAUUUUGAUUAUAUUAAAAUAGACCCGCAAUACUAUUUUUUCCCGAAGUGUGUUAGAUUUUUAUUUUUUUGCUAGAUUAUUAGAAAUAAAAAAAUAUUGAGGGAGUAAAGUGUAGAUUUUAACAUAAGAGGGAAGAAAAAUGUAAUUCAAGCUUCUCUUAGGGGAGGGGAGUGAAAAAAAUUCUAAUAUAUUUUAAAUAAAAGGGGAGGGGAGUAUAUAUUUUAACAUAAGUGAGGAGAAAAUAAUUCAAGCAUCGGGAAGUGUAAUUUACUCUAAUUUUUAACAACAGUAUAUUUGGGUUUCCUCUUUAUACCCAUUGGCCCAAUAUUUACUGUUUGCAAUAAAUACUUCAGAAUGCUAAUAAUAUUAAGGAUAAUUAAUGAUUUGGUCCUUAAGUUGUUUGUUGAUUAUAUUUUGGUUCAAUAAGUUAUUAACGUUACAAUUUGGUCCUUUAAGUUAGUAUAUGUUAGCCAAAUAAAUCAUCACCAUCAAUCUUUUGCCAAAAUGUUAAAUAUGCACAUGAGAACAGUGACGCGACAACUUGCAAUGUAUAUCCACCAUAGACAUUGGCUUAACGGUUUUGACGGUGGAGAUUUAUUUGGUUGACGGAAGAUGACUUAAAUGGACUAAAUUAUAACGUUAAUAACUUAGGACUAAAAUGUAACCAGCAAAUAACUUAAGGGAUCACAUCAUUAAUUAAACCUAAUAUUAAAGGGGAUAUGAGAUUUUGGGUUGCCUUAUUUAUUAUCUCAAUUAUCCUUCUAAACAAACUUUCAUAAUAAUGUUUAUUGUUGUCAUUAGAAAAGAUAAAAAUUUAUAUUAUAUUUGUUGCAUUGAAAUACAUAAUCCUGGGUUUUAUGCUUGUUAUAAUUUAAAAGUCACAAACAUCUAUACUUACAUUUUAAUCAAAAUCAAAAUUUCAUAAAAAACAUAAUUCAUAAUUUACAAACAUUAACACAAUAAAAAGUGUGGAAUAACAGACACAUUAAUGCCGGUCUUUUCGCUAGUAAAGCAUAACAUUUUUCUUCAACUUCACUUCCUCUACUUUCCUCAACAACAAUGACCAACAAACAAAAAUUGAAACAGCAAGAAAUGCAAGAAUAUCCGACUAAUCAUAUGGCAAUUAGAUAAACAAAGUCUGACUCUCCAAAAGAAACAGACAGUAUCAUAAUGAAUCUAAAUACGGGUUUAAAAUCCAACAAGAAUACAAAUCCUGAAGUUAAAACUUAGAAUCAACAAAGAUGAGUCCAAUCAGAGUAUUUUUCCCCUUCAAAACUCAAACCUUCCUCAUUGUAGUCUAUUAUAAACUUGGGAGAGUUGUCCAGAAUAGAAGUAGAGGGCACAAAAGACACCAGAGAAAGCACACUUCAAUUUUAACCUAAGAUGCACCUGGACCUUAAUGUACACAGACAAGCCAGCGAAUUUUUCCGUGAUGUUACAAUUAUAUCCUACAAUGCUGUGCAAGAUAUCUUGAUUCAUGUCAGUCAACAAGUAGCAACAACUUGACAUUCGCCAUGAUACUGAAGAUACCUUGUACCAUAAUCAUUUUCAGACGGAGAAAUUCAGAAGAUAUGAAGCCUUAUGACGAACCUGAAACAGAUUAUAGCUCUAUGUCAAAUCACAUUGUAACCAAAUAAUAACUGAUUAAAAAUAAGAAAAGAAUUCCAUUCACCUCUGACGCAUAAGAUCGUAGGUCAGUUGGUGAAAUAAAGGUAGAACAAUUUCUAAGAAAAGAACAGAACAUCUCAUGGAUUACUUCAUUGUCUUCAACAGAGUUGUUGGACAAAAUCCAAUUCUUUGCCAAGACCAAGUGAAUGUAGAGUUUGAAGAAAUCACAGCUUUUGUGUUUCAAGUUAAUUGCAUCAAGUGAUUUGAGGAUCUCUUCUCCAUUGUUGGCCUGAAGAAAAUGAUAUAAAUGUAACUUAUUUAAGCCUGAGGAAAACAAUAUCUAUGUAACUUACUUAAGCAAAUCACGAUAGCAAUCACAGAUACUACUGCAAUUAAAUUUGGUGUUCAUAGCUAACUUGUUUGAAAGAAUUUUCUCACGGCAUUUUGUCAUUAAAGAAUAUAUCUAUAUUAUAGGGCACUAAAACAGGACUAUAUUCUAAAUAGCAUAAUACAUAGAACUAACGACCAUAAAAAUAUUAAGAGGCAAAGGCUAUUAAAUAUGGACCACUUUUAUAAGUGGUCCAAGGUGCACAAGCAAUAUUAACCCUUAGACAGUGUGGUCCAUGGCGGAGAGCCAAAAUCCCGCCAUACCGGCCGCUUUGUGGUGCCGUCAUAACGGAUUGUGGCAAAAAAAACCGCAAUAUCGGCCGAUAUUUACCAUUGUGGCGACCGAUUUUCGAUAACACUGCCCUUAGAUCUACAUUUUAUAGUGAUACUGUGUACGCUCUGCACUCGAUUUUUUUUUCUUCUGUGAGCAGACAAUGUCAUCCUCUUCCUUGCUGGCUUCUCCCUUACUAGUGACAUGACUCUUGCCCCGAGUUUCUUGACGAGCAGAAACACAUUUCAGAUGUUCAACUUCAAGUCCUCCUAAUAAACACACCCUCAACUUGAUCCUUGCAGUGAAACACCUUUUUCGCUCUUUGGAUUCUCCAAGGAAUAUAAUAAAAGCAGCUGAAGUCUUCUCUCACAAGAUGGAGUUGACUACAGGGAUCAAACAACAUUGUAAUGUCCUUUCAAGAAUGUCUACGUACCGAUAGAUUAUAUAAAUCGUAAGUUGUCAUGGUGAUUUAACCUGUAGUUUCCUCGAUCUCCCCUCAAUCUUGAAGUAAUGGACUAUCCUUUACAAUUCUUACUAGUGCUUGCUUUUCCAGGUCUUCUCCAAACAUGUAAGCAUUAUCUCCACACAUUUUAAAAUUACCUGAGAUGAGACUAUCUCUAAUGACUUCAUUCUAAAUACUAUUUUGUAUAGUUACUCAUUCAUCACAGCAUUUGAUCUCUACAACACUAAAUUUCUUGCUGGCUCAUACAACAUCGUAAGUCUUAUAGCUAUGAAAGCGGUACUUUUCUAUCACAAAUCAGAUCACAACCGAAGCAUUUUAAUAUCUCAUCCACUGUGCUUGAAUCCUAUGGUUGAUAUUAAGGGCUUAUUAGAAACAUCAUGUGAUACAAAAUUAAUAUCUCAUCCACUGUGCUUGAACACUAUGGUUGAAAUUAAGGACUUAUUAGAAAUAUCAUGUGAUACAAAAGUUUCAACACCAAAUAUAAUUUAGUGUUCUUUGUCGAUGCCAAGAAUUGAACUGCGAAAAAAGAGCUGACAACAUUCCGCAUAUAGGUCAGAAAAAUUUCAGCAACAAAGCAGCCCUUUUUAAAAUAAGAAUAACAACUACAUUUAACACACUGAUGAAUUGAAAUAAAGUACUUUUCAAACUUUUUUUUUGAACAAGAGUACUUUUCAAACAUUACAAAUGAAGAAUGCUUGGAUUUUCAUCAAUAAAAAUUUGAGAGUGGAUGUUAGGACUUCGUAUGAGAGGGUGUUAUCAGUAGGUAGUUAAUUAGGUUUAAGUAGAUUUAUAGCAAGAGGCCCAUUAGGAUUUAAUAAUAAGAGGCCCAUUAGGGUUAUAUAUUUUAAAGAGUCCCACAUCGGACAAAAGAUGGCCAAAACAUGUGUUUAUAAGUGGGGAAAAUCCUCACCUCACAAACCGGUUUUGCGAAGUUAUGUUAGGCACAACCACAAAUUCUAAGAUAGUAUUAGAGCCUCUCCAAGAUCCAAUGGGCCAUCUGCUAAUAAUCUACUUGAACCUAAUUAAGUACCUACUAAUUACUUAAAAUACCCUCUCAUACUAAGUCCUAACAGUGGAUUUUCGGUGUUAAAUUUUUUGAUUUUAUCACAUGCAUGCUAAGUAACUUUCAACACAAACCAGACCUUCAUUUAACUUCAUAUGUGCACAACAAUAAAUAAACUUGAUGGAAGGGGAAAGUAUCAUACUCCGUCAAAACAAAAAAGCAUGGUUUGAUAGGCAAUGGCGCUCCUAAGUUGCCUACAACGAGAACUAUCUUCUGAAACACAUUCAACAGUCCGGAUGCAAUUCAAAUCCUCCGAGACUCUGCAGAUCCAAGACAACAAGAAUAAGAGAAAUGAAGCAAAGGUAGCUUAUAGCAAGAACAAUCAAUAGAAGUAAUAACCUGCAAGCAAUGAACUUCGCUACGUUCUCGCAGCUUGAGCACCAUUCUUGGUCAGUAAAAUAAUCAACAACUGCUUGCAAGCAGUCAUAUAAAAGCACCAACAACCCCUGGAACCGGCGAUCUAGGAACAUACAUAUAAUAAUUUCAACUAUCUCUUCAGCUUCAAUAGUAGAGAGGAUAGCUUUUUUACUCCUGUGAUUAGAAUCAAGAGGUAUGAGUUACCAAUAUCAUACUUUCAACAUUCUGCACUUGAUGAGUAAUCUUAUUGAUGCAACUUUAUAACUCAAAUGAUAACAGACAAAAGAUAAACAUGACAGAAAAAUCAUUUGGGUUAUAUAUGGUGUAGACUCUGUGCUGCUGCUUACUUUAUCCGGCAACAGUAAGUGACAAAUCUGAUCCAGGCUCUAAUAUUUUGGGGUGGACCUCCAUUGUUAGAAUCUAAAGACAAUGACAUAUAUUGUUCUUAGAAGCACAGUAGUAGAUAUAGCAAGAUAUUUGCAUUCCAAAUGAAAAAUAAUGCGAACAUCUCUAAAUUAAGUGUAAUUGAAAAGAAAAAAAAGAUAUUCAUGAAAUGGAAUAUAUUAGUGAAAACAUAGCAACAUAUCAGCUCUAGAGUACUGAAACUUAAUGUAUUCAAAUCUCUUAUGGAAAGAUACCUGAACUUUCAUGCGCAGCACUGGAUGAAAACUUAAAGAGAAACCCGUAAGUGUCAAGAGCACUUCUCAAAUCUUUGUACUCAGGAAACCAAUCAACUUUGACAGAAAAUUGAUCAGCCUGGUAAAGAAUGAACAUGAGUAGUAACAAAUUAAUAUUAUUAGAGAAUAAAGGCGUCGAGAUAAACAUGCCAGAUCAUCAUUUAUAUACAGUAAAUUUGCUCUAAGUUUAACAUUACAAACAAGUUUACCUCAUUUCCAGAAGAGAGAAUUUCACACCAAAAGUCGCUGGAAGAGUUCUGGAGCUCUUCUUUUGAUGAAUAUAACACUGAAAUAACAAAGCAAAACAGAUGUAUGACAAUCAUGCUCUCAUGCUCACAGCUAAUGUCAAUAUAAACAUGAAAGAAACCGUGCUUUUACUUACUUGAGUUAAAGGCCCAUAAAGCUACAGGUUUCUCAACAUGGCCGGAAAGAAAAGCUAAUUUUGAAAGCCAACCAUUGACUAGUAACCCUUCAAGAAAGCUAUCACCUGAAAGGACACACGGUAUCAAGUGAAUAACAACUUACAACAAAUAAGUUGGUUUCAUCCGAUAGGGUAUAUAAGCAGUGUCCUGAUAUAAUAGAAUGUUUGGAUUGACUUAUUUGAGUUUACCUACAGGCAUGAAACUUGUGAGACUGUUUGGGAGAGGUUAUGGAAACAGCUUAUGACACGUUCAUAAGCUGUUUUCAGUGUAUUUUCAUAUGCUCUUCAGGAUAGCUUAUGAAAACAGUUUAACUAUAAUUUAUCUUUUGUUAAUAGAAAUAACUUAUACACAAACACUUGAAUGAUAAGCGUCUAUGCUAUAAGCACUUCAUUAAGUUGUUUACCCAAAAAGGGAUUAAAUAUGGCUUAAUUUAGUGCACUUUUUGCAAUAUUAAAGAUAGAUGGUUUAUUAUAAAUUGAAAAACACAGAAAAAUGACAUUAUAGCUUCAAAAAUCAAAAACAUCAUAGCAACCUUUGUCAGCAGCCAACUCGACCACAGAAUUUAGUCUGUUGUUCAAAAAAGAUUGUAUAAAGUUACAACUUCCGAGGUCAGGAAAGUCCAAACGGGGAAAGGGUUUCUGCAGCACACAAAAUGAAAACAUUACUAAUAUGAAGUAUACAAACGAUUAAGAGAUAAAAACAACCGUAUACAUAGAGAACUACUGAGCAUUUGAUUUAGUAUAAUGACCUGUUCACCAAAAACUUCUACCCCCCAAACUGGAAUUUCAUUUUCUUCUCCAAAGGCUUUCAACUGGAUAAGAAUGGAAAGGUAAUCAGUAACAAUGUCAAUUACAAAAAUAAAAAACAAAUGUAAGAAAGGGUAAAAAGAAAGAAAAUAUUAUACCUGAUUGUGACAUUUCUCAACUAGCCUAUUCAAAUGAGCUUCCUUACGAUCUUCAUCAUCGUAUUUCUUCUUUUCAUUUGCCUUAGCCUUUUUCUUUGCCUGCUUCUUCUGCUUCUCUGCAAGCUUCUCCUGUUCUUUGUAGUGUUCAUUAAGAAGAUCAUCCAACCCAAUAACCUUCUUCCUGGUUCACAUAAAUUUUAAUUACUCGUUAGAACCUACGAAGCACUGACACAGACGCAUAUACAAGACACUCAAAAUCACUCACAAGUGUCAAACGCUUUCAAUCUGAAAUGUCAUUGCUACAUAAAUUAAAACUUGUUAUUUGAAUCACUUAUUUAAAUCAAAUAAAGGGAAGCCCAUUUAACGAAAAAACAUAGAUUCAACACAUGUCGGACACCAGACACACAUUCAAUUUGAAAUAUCCGCGCUACUACAUAAGUUAGAACUCAUUCUUUUAAUUAAAUGAAGUGAAACCCAUGUGAAAAAAACAUAGAUUUUGCAUAAAAGUUUAAAUUUUGGGAAACCCUAAAUCCGAAAAAGGGAAAAAUAACGGUAAAAAUUGAAAGUUGAAGGAGUACCGCUUCUUGUUGAUAGGAAGUGGUACGAGAAGGUCAUCUUGUAGCUCGAAAUCCAAAGGGUCAUCCAUGAGAGGAGAGUUUUGGUAACUGUGUAUGGAGGUUUCGAAAGUUGAAUCGUGUGAGAGAAGAGAAAAGCACCAAAAUGUGUCUUAACGUGUUUUGUUGGAGGGAAAAUCUUCUCCACAAUUCAAUCCUUUAUUUCAUGGAGCCCGGUUUUCAUGGUAAAAAUGAACUUUGAUAAAAUAUAAAUAUAAAUUACUACCUCCGUUCCUUUUUAUUAUCACAUUUUGACAUUUUACACAAACCAAGACAAUCAACAAUUGAUACUAUUUUUGAUGCAAUAAGCUAUACUUUUACUAUAAUGACCUUAUUUAUUUAAUAUCUCAUUGCAUAUAUUUCUCUCUCCGCAAUAAAUAACUAAAGAUAAUAUUGGUAAAACAACAUUUAAUGUUGCAUUGAACUUUGAAAGUGACAGUUAAAUAGGAACAAAAAUUUUCUCAAAAAGUGACACUUAAAAAGGAACUGAGGGAGUAUUUUUUUUGCUAAUUCUUCCAUCUUAUAUAGUAUAUAUAAUACAGUUGACUCUAUUACGCAUGUCAAUACAUAAUUUUGAGCUUGAAUAUUUUGAAUAAUACUUCCUCCGUUUCAAAAUGAGUGUCAUUGAGCCAAAAAAAUUUGUUUCAAAAUGAAUGUCACUUUACAUUUUCAAUACAACUUUAAUUUUUUUUCUUCCAACUUUUCUCUCACACAAUUUUCAAUGCAACUUUAAUUUUGUCUUUUUCUUAUAAAGUAAGGGCAGUUUAAUAAAAGCCUUAUAUCCAAUGAUUAUUUCAUUCCAUUCCUUAAUCUGUGUCAAAGCCUAAAGCGACACUCAUUUUGAAACGGAAAUAGUAUAUUAGAAAAAUUAUGAAAAUUUGAUAUUUUAAUAGUAUUUGUCGACACAAAUUCAACAUCUUAUAUGCCAUAAUUUGUCCUUGUAGGAAAAAUAUGGUCAAAAUAUGAGGUGAAUAGUGCAUAUUUUUAAAGUAAGUCGUUUAAAAUGGAACGGAGUAAGUAUUAUUUAUCCCAUCCUAUGUGUUACUCGUGCGCUCUAUUUUAUUCUAAAAAUACCCUUUAAAUUUAAUAAUUUAAAUGUAGUGUGGAUUAUAAAAUCUGAAAUGCUUGCGGACAGAACUGCAUGUCUUUGUUGAUUCAUCAUUAUAUAAGUUGUUUUGAUGGAAAGAUGAAUCGAGUAUUCUUUAUUGUUUGAUAAUCUUAUUUUUUUGAAAAAAAAAACACAAUGGACAAGUGGAGUUAGAGACGCCACUGUCCACUCUUCACUUACAUCCAAACAAAUCUGAUUGAGAGCUUUUUCCUGAUGCGCUCCUUUUUGAAACCCUUUUGUUCCACCUCCGUCCUUUCUCCACUUACAUCCAAACAAAUCUGAUCCGAUCUGAUGUAGCCCUUGACCUAAGUGGUGUACUCUGCCUUAGAAGCACCACCUGCACACCGCCGGCCCCGCCGUUGUGGGUGCUCUGAACUCUCACACGUACUCUAUGAAGAGAGAUGGUUCUGUAAACAUGCGUGAUUUUCAUUUGGAGAUCCGUUCGUCUGUGUUUAUGUUUAAUUGGGUAUGUUAUGGUCGUCGCCGCCGACGGCUAAAACGGUACUUAUAUUCGGUUUUAGCUCUGUUCUCAGAUCUGGUUGGUCCUUCGACGACUCUCUUGGCCGCUUUCAUGAUUUCGUGGUGGAGCAGGUUCAGUGGUGUUUGUUUCAUGCGUUUAAAGAUUCAGAUGGUUAAGCCAUAAAUGGCGUUGUUAGCUUGUUGUUGUUGAUCAACAUGAGUUGUUUGGUUUUGGAUUUGUUAUCGCGUUGGCGAUCGGGUUCACCACCAUUAUUGAUUUCAAAUCCGGUAUGUCCUUCGGUAGCUCUCUUGGCCUUCUUCAAUUCGUGGUGGUGCAGGUGCUAGUUUAUGGGUAAUGAGCUUCAUGUGUCAGAAGAUUCGGAUGGUUUUGGGCUCGAAAGGGCUGGUACAACUAUUGUGUUAUUGCAGGGGAUAUUAGUUCGUGAAUCCUUCUGUGUUGGCAGUUGAUUCAUACACUAUUCUUCAAAAAAAGUUUGGUUUGAUUAUAGGCAUGCCUAUCUUGGUUACUUUUGGUGUCGUCCAUGUGGUCAUUUCUUUGAUUUCGCUAAUUAUGAUCCAGAGUUGUUGAGUUCUGCAGGUUUCAAAGAUAUGGUGACACGUCGAUGCUAUUUGAAUAUUUGUCGCAGUUGUUGUGACUGACUUCAGACUGUUUUGGAAUCCUAGUCAUUCGUAUAAUUGACAUUGGACUAAUUGGACUUGAAAGAGUUGGUGUGCUUGUUGCCUUGCUGCAUGGAGUUGUUGGUUCUUGAACUAUGUUGUGUUGACAGUUAGUUCAUACUCCUGAUGGCUGACCUUUGUUUAAUCAGGAUUAACCAUUGGAGGUAUCAUUUGUGUGGUUUAAUAUGUUUGUAAUGCAUGUUUGGGUUGUCCUGCACUGUGUUUUUUUACUUGGUUAGGUCUAUGUCCCCCCAUGUUUUUUUCUUUUUUUUUUAAUAAUAUAUAUGAGCACUAGACACAAGAUUAAAGGUGUAGCUGAUUAAUCACCUAUUCUCUUUCUUGAUGUUUUUAUGCUCUGACCUUAUCUAAGAAAAAAACAAAAAAAAAAUGGAGUUAGAGAAAUAAUCUCUGUGACAAUUUUUCAUUCAAAGGGGCUCAAUAGAUGUUAUUGUCAUAUCCGCGCACAAGAAUGUCUCAUGUGAAAAUACUCUCUUGAAGGUCUUUCUCUGUGUGGAGGUUGGUGCAAAAUAGUCUCCACAUAAAAGAUCAUCUUAGACCAUUUACAAUGGAGUUGUUGAAAAAAAUAUCAACUAUUGAAUUGGUGCAAUGACAUAUUGAAAAGUAUAUGGAUUAUUUGAGGUUGAAUUUUUUCAACCGUUGAAUGAGGAGAUAGUGGGGGAGGGUGUGGGGUCUAAUUAUUUCAUAUUGGUUAAUUUAAUACAUCUGGCAAAAUGGUUGUUCUGAUUAUCAGAUUUUUAUCUCAUCAUAAUUAUCUGAGGUCAAUUAUUUCAUAGUAAAUUAAUUUUUAUUUUUUUUUCACCAAAAUUCUUUUUUUUUUGUCUAUAAAUAGAGAUUUGGUUCAUUUGAUUUGGACACAGAAAAAACAACAUUUUUCCCUCUAUUUUUUUUUAUUUAGCCUCAAAUAAACUCUUAUUUGUAGCUCUAAACAUCUUUUUAGUGAAAUAGAUCCCAACAAUAACUCUUUUAACACCCAAAAUUCUCCAUCAUUCUCUUAUUCUCUAUAAGGUGUGUUUUUUUUUAUUGUUUUGUAAUGAUGUUGGUUGCCAUGUGCAACUAAACCUCUUUGAUUAGGGUUUCAAGAUGAACUCAUUCUUAUCUGUUAAUUCAAUAAAUAAAGUUUUGUUUAUUCAGUUUCUGAUUGAAGUGUCUUAUUUAAUUUAUAUAUGUUCGUUUCUAUACUAUAUCUUAGAUGAAGAAUACUAGAAUUGACAACCGUAAUUAUGUCUGAUCAAGAUAGUAGUCAAUUGCUUAGUUUCUAAAUUAAAUUCUUGUAAUCGAAUCUAAGUAUGAAUUUAGAGUUAUGCUUCAUCUUUAAGGAACACCACAAUCGUAACUCGUUGAAUUGCGACGAUAUUAAAAUAAAACUUUCACUUAUAUAUCAUCGGGUCAUGUUCUACUUUCUUAAAUCCAAAGAGAGGUCAUCAACUAAUAAAUAACCGAGUUAAUUUCAACAAAGAUGGAAGGGAAUUCAAGGAUUCUUAAUCGCUGUUAAACUUCUGAAUCACAAAACCUAAUCUCGCAUUAUGCAUGACGAUUAAAACCAUGCCAACCACUUCAUCUCUUUAAAUUCUUUUAUUUCUAAUAAAUUCCGCUAAUUACCAAGUUGAACAACAAUCCUUGUGAAGACGAUAACUUACCUUUUUAUUAUUUGCGUACGAUUUGGUGCACAUGCGAAUUCCGUUCAUCUCUUCGAACAUCAGUCCAAUCACAGUUCAUCGCUUUCCGACAUCUUGAGCCAACCACAGUCCAAUCAUCCCUAUCCGCCCGAUUUGUGAAUCAUCCCUAUCCACCCGAUUUGUGCCACCAUAGUUGAAACUUUAUCCUUAUGGCCGAUGGUGAUUGCCCGUGUGAUUGCCCUAUGUAAUUCCUAUGGCCGCCGCCUCUCUCUACAUCUCAUGUAUCUCUCUUAUUUUCUGGUUUUUUUUAAGGAGAAAACUUAGGUACAAUUCGUUAGAUGCUUUUCGUAUGGUUCUUAACUAAAUUCACCAUGAUUUCCUCAAAUCCAUAAUUUUCUCGAAGUUUGUUAUAUCAAAAAAUAUGUAUUUUUAGUUAAGAACCAUACGAAAAGGGAAUUGUACUUCUCCUUUUUUUAAUUACCUAUAGAAGAAUAUACUUAUUAUAGUUUAAAAAUAAAAUAAAAAACGAUGAGAAUAAUUGAACACGCAUACAUGAGGUAAAAUGUAGCGAUCUUAUCACAACACGAAAAUGAGAAUUUGAUUUUUUAGGGGAGAUGGAUUCGUAUUUGUUCUUUACAUGAAAGAUCAAUCUUAUUAUAAAUAUAAUACCCUCUGAAAUUUUCAUUAAGAUAAACCACAAUGUAUAUUUCUUAAAAAAAAAAAAAAAGAUUACUUUAAUUUUAUUGUAGUGAUGCUCAAAAACCAAAAAGAAGGAUUUGUUUAAAAAUGAUGUUACAUUGAAACUUAUGAUAUAUAGAAUUAGGAAGUAUAAUCUCACGUGAACUAGUGACAUGAGCACCCACUCCAAGUAGCAAAGAGAACACAACAAUGAGUAAUGCAUCAUGAGAUUUGGCCAUUUAUAACCUAAGCACCACAUCGACCCCUUCAAAAUCAUUAUUGAAAUCGUGUUCCUAUUCUUCUUUUUUUGGAUACAAAAUUGUGUUAUUUCUAUAUCUUAUGUUUAUCCACUGUGCCGAAAUAAUAUGAUUCACCGUGCAAUCUAGAUGCCACCAAUAAAAAGAGGAAAUGAGUGUUCAAUUUUGACACUAAUAUACAGAUACGUGUUUAAAUAACUUUUAAUUUAUGGUCACUUAUUUAAACUUUUUAAAUCACCCAAAAAUAACUCUCACCUUUAUUUAAACUUUUUAAAUCACCCAAAAAUAAGUCUCACCUUUAACACAAUUCAUGAAUUACUUUUUUGGCCGUUGGUUGUUUACUUAAUCGAUAAGGGAAAAAGAAUUGUCAUGUAAAGAUCAAUAGAAGAAGAAAAAAAUUGAAAAGAACAAAACUUUUUCACGAUAUAAUGUUGUUGUAAAAGUUUUUACACAUAAACUACUCAAACUUAACAUUUGUAUAAUUUAUUUUUAGUUUUAAUCCUCCACUUUUCGAGAAAAGGGUUGGUAAUUAGUUGUCGAAUGAAAUGUAAGUAAAAUUUGAUCAAAAGAUUUACAUUUAUAAAUAAAAUUCAGAUUCUUCUCUAUUAAAAACUUAAAUUCAAUCACCUAGUCAUCAUUUUGUAUAAUUUUUAAAGUAAAAAGUUUCAUUAAAGUGGUCGAAUUUUUAUUUUUGAGAAGGACAAAGAAAACAUAUAUAUUAACAAUCAAAAUCAAGAAGCUUCAACACAAGAUGUGCCACAAGAAGCCUAACAAAGAAGCAGAGUACAACACAUAAAAAAAUUAGGAAAAAAAUCAAACUUAAACUAGCUAGGUAGCUGCACUUAAACAGUAAAUAGGAUUUUGCCUCCAUAAUUGAUAUUCAAAAUCGAGUAAAACAUAUUUCGACUUAAACCACCAAUAAAACCGAAGAUUUACUCUUUCACAUAGAAUCUGCAGAUUUUUCUCCUUCCGUUAAAAUACACAUCUGUUACGUUCCUUCCGGAUGACUCAAACAACCGAAAGCCAAAUUACAUUUAAAAAGCAUUAAACUCUACUGAAAACCCUUAAACUACCAAAUUGAUAUGCUCUAACACCCGACCAUUGAACGUAGUAUAGAAACCAAACCAACUGAAAAUACAGUGAUGAUGUAAAAAAUAUUUAAUUUAAUAGUACAUAUAAAUAUUUUUGUUUUCAAAAUUUUGCUUAAAAACCGAUUAAUCCAGUGAAAUUAAUCUCACCGUCUACUUGCAAGAGAUCCUUUUAAAACCAAAACAAAUUUGAAAAAUGAAAGAGAUUUUUUUUGAAGCAUACCCUCUCUAAAAAAUGAAGCAUGUUUAUAUGGCGGUCGACUUUAAUAUUGCUUUGCUAAUUAAUGACAUCCACGACAUUGGGAAAGUUUAAUGAUUAAGCAAUUAAUGAUGGGAACGUAGGCUAGACGCAUUUUUGGGUAGUUUUUGUGACUAGGAUUGGGUCAUGUAGUAGCUUCUUAAUCAAGUAAUCUAAACGUAUUUUGAAUGCUUAUCUGACCAAAACUCCUACCAAAUAAUUCCUCCAAUGACAUCAUAUAUUUCAGUUUUCACAUAGAAUGUCUUUGUUUGAUUUCAUUUCAGGUGACCCCAUACUAAUCCUAUUGCCUUUGACCUCAAGAUACAACCAAAUUGAUUUUUUUUUCAUCAACCAUUUAUUAUUAUUCUUUAUGAAUACGUAACAAACAUGUAUAAACCCACUUGGCUGCUGAAUAAAUAUGUGUCCCCGUGUACCAACUUUUUAUCAUAUAGUUUCUUUGAUCGGUUCAAAUAAUUGAUCUUAUCUUAAUAAUUCAAUUUGAGAAAUUCCACCAAUACCUAUUUUAUUUUCCCCAUUUUUAUGUGUUCGUAAAACAGAUAAAUACUAGUAUACACGAGACUUGUUAAUAUCAUACAUAAAAUCUAGCUCUAUGCUUCUCCUUUAAUUUCUUUUUUCCAACACUCACGUAUCACAAAAGCUACGGCCACUUUUCAUUGUGGCUACUACCUUUAACUUUUUUCUUUUGCUAAAUUACAUUUUUUGUCCCUUAAUUAUUUAGGUAGCAUCGCUUUGAUCUCUUAACUAAAAUUUGAUUUAUUUUGGUCCAUUAACUUCUAUCCGUUACACAUUUUGGUCAUUUCCGUUAAAUUUAAUUCAAAAACGUUAGGUUUUCUUCAUUUUUUUCUGGAUUUUUUUGGGAUUCGUGUUGUUGAAGGUUGAUGGAGAUGACAUGAAGAUGAAAAAGAUGAAGAAAACCUAACGUUUUUGAAUUAAAACUAAUGGAAAUGACCAAAAUGUGUAAUAAAGAGAAGUUAAGGGACCAAAAUAAAUCUAAUUUUAAUUAAGGGACCAAAAAUGCAAUUUAAUCUUUUUCUUUUUAUAUAGAUUCACGAAAUAAUAAUAGUCAUUCGAAAUUUACACAUACAAAAUAGAUCAUCAAUCCAAGCUUAAGCUCUAAUUAUAACAUCGGAUAUAAUUGUUUUUAUUAUUAUAUUUUAUAUUUAAUAUAUAAAAAAUAUGUAUCUAACUAGUUAAGUUGAGUUAAAUAAAUCCUUCAAAAAAAAAAGUUGAGUUAAAUAGAACAAACUCAUAAGUUAUAAAUUCGUAAAGUAUUUAUGUAAGUUUCUUCUAAUCUUUGAAUUUUGGUAUUAGGUGUCCUCUUAUUACUACAUUCAUUGUAACCAGCUUUUAAAACUUCUUUUGCAUGCAUGUUUUUAAUCUGGUAAUUACUUUGAAUGAAAGUGAUUUGAAUUUUCGAAUUGUAUCAGAAACUGAUUUCUUUGAUAAUUUCUUUUAUGAUUCUCAAGGACACUUUUAGUUACGUCAAAAUAGAAUUUGUCCUUGCUUCGAAUAUGUUGAUCUUACGAUUUUUUUAGAGUAAACUAGCUUAAGAAUUGAGUGCUCACCUUUAUAUAAUUGGUUUUUUCAAAAUUUGAUGAGAUUUUUGUUUGGUAUUAAAUUUUUGUUAGAAUACAAUCAAAAAUAAUCAAAAUAUUAGAUAGUAAUUAAUAAUUGUGUUUUGAAUAGGUCAAGAAAUGAUUAAAAAAGUGAUGUCACCGGUUCCUUUAGAAAUAGUUAAUUAAGGGGUCUAAACAUGCUCAACAAGGGGUGGUUAGUGAUGUAGUGGGAUGCCAUAAUACAAAUUUAGUAUUUUGUAUCAAUAAAAAAAAUGCCUAAGUACUACUCUUAGUUUAUUUAAUUAGAAACUCCAUUCUUUUUCCGGGAUUCGAACCUCAUACCUUGCAUAUAUUAUGUAUUAUCCAUACCAACUGAGCUAAACUCACGAGGACAAUCAGAAAUUAUAUUUACUAGAGGAGGGAAUUUCAGAUAGAUAUUAUUUAUUUUAAAACAAAGAAAAAAUUACCUUUAGUUCGGGUUUGAAACAACCAACUUGUACUUACAACUCAUAUGGUAAGAUAAUAUUUAAUAAUUUAAUAUAUUGAAGUGCGAGUUUAAACAUCCAACCAGAUUAUCUUUUGUGAUUGAAGAGUCAUGUCAGAUCUGAGCCACGGAUUUCCUACCGGUCCAUGCAGACAUGGACCCCUCCAAAUUGAAGUAAUUGAAUGAUAUUGCUUUUAUUUCUUUUAAUUGAAAAGUCUAUUAGGAUCCGUUCCCUACUCUUUGCAAUUCGCACUUAAUUUAUGUGAUUUUCGCCUUUUAGAUUUCUAAAACUAAUAUUUUUUUUUGGAAUACUUGACCCAAUCUCAUUAGUUGAAUUUAUUGAGAGUUUAUCUUCCUCAAGAAUUAUCGCCAGACAAUGGUUGUAAUUUUGGUCUUGAUGUCAUAACUUAUAGUUUGAUGCUGAUUGUUAACCCUAUUUAAGACAACCUUAUCUUCAAUGUGUGAUGAUAUGAUAAUAACACCAGAAAAUUUGGUUGAUGUAAGAGCUCACAACAACUCCAACACUGCGCACAUGAAUUGUGUGUUCUUGUUUUUUUGUUUGUUUGGCAAAGUGUUUUCUUUAGUUAUAGGCAAAAUUACACAAUUAGUCACGAUUUUAGGUAACAUUUUGGUCCUUUAUCUUUUUUUUGUCACGAUUUAGUCCUUUAUGUUAUAAAAUAACAACACAGUUAUCAUUUUUUAUGAAAAAAAUAAUCAAAAACUCCAAAAAAUUCAUCAAACUCGUAGGCAAACGUAAAUCUUCAUCAUACAAGCCUAGAAAAUCAAAUUUCUUUGAAAAAAAUCUCAUAAAAAAUGAUAAGAUAUUGUCAUUUUAUAAUAUAAAGGACUAAAUCGUAACAAAAAAAAGAUAAAGGAUGAAAGUGUUACCUAAAAUAAAGUUAAGGGACUAAUUGUGUAAUUUUGCCUUAAUUAUAUGAAUGAUAGUAUUAGGGAGAUUGAUUGGUACCAAAUACGGUUGGAACCUUGAGACUUCUAUUGGAUGUCAAAGAUUUUAAUGAUCAGGUGGGUUAACCAAAAUAAGUGAUUGAUUGUUUCUAAAAAGCUUAGAAAAAUUAUUUCAGUUUACCAGUCUACAGAUUUGAUUUGUAACAGUGAUAAAUUGAUCAAUUUGAUAAAAAAUGAUUUACAAUAAUGUAUUUUAAUUUUUUUAGAUAAUCAAUUACAGUACAUUUUUUAAUUAUGUAAAAAAAACAAUAUUUUCAUUAAUAUUAUAAAUACUAGCGAAAAUUAUGAACAAUUUUUUUUUUUUAUGAAAUUUUGAUUUUGAUUAAAAUUAAAAUAUAAAUGUUUGUUGCUUUCAAGUUAAAACAAACCAAACUAAUCAUGAUUAUUUAUUUCAAUAGUAUCAACAAUAUAACAAAAAUAUAAUCUCGACAUAAAUAUAAAUAUUAAAUAGAGAUAGUUCAAAGAAAUAUAUCUCUAUUUCAUAAGUUUGAUAGAAUCUUAUCAUAUCAUAUAUCCCGACAUAGUAUGAACCAACAUAGUGUGAUAAUAUUUAAGUCUCUUAAUUGCUUGGUUUAAUUUAUUCUUGAGCCGGUGUGUAUUGAAAAAUAUUCACGAAAAGAUGUUAAUUCUUUAAAUGAAUUUUAAUUAUCUUCAGAAUGUUAGUCUUUAGAGUUAAAGACAGAUGAUACAUUUUUAUCUAUCAAAAUAGACAUGGUACGAUGAUAUCACAUCUUGUAUUUUUUUAUGAAUAGAAAUUAAUCUUGAGAAUCUAAUUUUUUUCAACUUUAUAUUCGGCUCAAGGGACCAACUAAUUCGCAGAGUCAAAUUCCACCGUCCAGUUAUAGGAGAGCGGGGUCAAUUGGUGACAAGUUUAUUAAAUAUGGAGGUUUCAUGAUCCCUAAUUUGCAUGACCAUUAAAUUGUGUUUAGGUUGUUGCGGAUAACGUGAAUUACAAUAUUUGUUAUAUGAUUAGACCAUCUAUGAUAAUCUUUUGCUAAUUUGAAUGUUAUGUAUGCUUGUGUGGUUAAUAGAAUAUUCAAAUAUAUAUAUUUCGAUGCACAAAACUUUGUUUAUAAUAAUUAAUCUGACCAAUGCCGGAUAUAUGUACCGAUUAUAAAUAAAAGUUGGUAUAUUUAAAAGUAUUAAGUUGGUAUAUUUAACACUAAAAAUAAUAUAACCAGCCAAUUUUAAGCAAAAGAAUGAAAGUAAAAAUCGUUGAAGUAAUCUACAAACAAAGCUAAAGCUGCAUAUUACCGAGAGCCACACCAUUCACCAAGCUCAUUUCCGAUCCAUCACUACCUCAUUAAUCAUCAUCAUCCAUGUGACCUCCAAAAUAAUUCACCCCUCUAUGUAUCUGUAUUAUUUUCCCUUUCUUUUCCUUUUCUUAUUAAAAUGUCCACUCAAUAAUUAAAGAAUAAUCGAAAUUCGGAAUACUACAGACUAUAGUACAGUUCAUACACCCUGUAAUAAGAAAAUAAAAUAUAAAAUUUCAAAAGCCAUAACGAUUUUCCUUCCAAAACAUUAAUUUUUCUUCUUCUUUCACAUCAGUUUUCGAUCCACCAAAGAUGUACGAUUAAUCCAGUUCAUGCAUAGAGACAUGCGCACGGAUCAAAUAUUAUUCUCUCUGAAAAUCGAAUCCGAUAUUCUCCAGAUACAUCUUUGAAAUGAACUUCCUGCCCCUGUAGCUCAAACAACUUAGUUUUCAAAACAUUAAUUUAACCAAACCCCAUUUUGUCCAAAAUAAAAUACAAAAAUAGUACCCUAUUUGUUUAUCCUCUAUGCAAUAACGAAGUUCUAACCCACACCUUUCCCUUCAUUUCCUUCCUGUCACUGUUUCUUAGCUUCUACUUCUAAGCCAUACCAGACCAAGAAAACACCUUCUCAACCUCUCAACAUCCUUCACCUUCAAUCUCUUUCCCUUCACCUUCUUAUAGUUUUUUUUUUCAAUCAAUGAAAUGGAUCAGAAUCACAAGAAAAAACCCUCAAAAAACAAAGGAUACUAUGUUAAAAUGAAACUCAUGCAUAAACAUGGUAUUAGACCUCAACAACAAGAAAAAAACCAUUUUCAUAAAUAUUACAAAUGGAUUCUUUGGCUUUCUCUUUCUCUCUAUUUCUUCACUUCUUACCUCAUUAGCAACAACAACAAUCACAACCACAACAACAACAUAAAACAUCAUCAAAUAACAUCAACAAUAAAAUCACUUUCUCAAUCCUUAUCCAUCAAAAAAACAACAUCAUCACCUCAAACACUUCAAAAAACUAGUUUGAAAAACUUGAAAAUAUUUGUGUAUGAUCUUCCACCAAAAUACAACAAAAACUGGCUUAAAAACCCAAGAUGCAAAACUCAUUUAUUUGCUUCAGAAGUUGCUAUUCAUAGAGCUUUAUUAACAAGUGAUGUAAGAACUUUUGACCCAUAUGAAGCUGAUUUUUUCUUUGUACCAGUUUACGUUUCUUGUAACUUCAGCACCGUUAAUGGCUUCCCAGCAAUUGGUCAUGCACGUUCAUUGAUUUCUUCAGCAGUGAAACUCAUCUCCACCGAGUACCCUUUCUGGAACCGUAGCACAGGAUCAGACCAUGUCUUCGUAGCUUCACAUGAUUUCGGUUCUUGUUUCCACACCCUGGUAAAAACUAAAAACUAAAAAACCAACAACUUCAUGUUACAAAUGUUUUUUUUGAGUUUUUCUAAUGAUGAUUUUUUGUUUUUGUUUUUGGGUUUUGAAGGAGGACGUGGCAAUGAAAGAUGGGGUACCUGAAAUUAUGAAGAAUUCAAUUGUGUUACAAACUUUUGGUGUUACUUAUGAUCAUCCUUGUCAGAAAGUUGAACAUGUUGUGAUACCACCGUUUGUUUCGCCGGAAAGUGUACGGAAUACGUUGGAGAAUUUUCCGGUGAACGGACGGCGAGAUAUUUGGGUUUUCUUUCGUGGGAAAAUGGAGGUUCAUCCUAAGAACGUUAGUGGAAGGUUUUACAGCAAGUAAUCACACUUUAAUCUUUAAUCUCUCUAAUUAAUAUCUUAAUUUACAUGCUUAAAAUAUGCGGAGGAGGCGGAAGUUCGAACCCGCACACCCGCAGCUGCUAAACUAUUUGACAAAAAAAAAAAUAUCGAUAUUAUUAUUUAUACCUUUUUUAUAUGAGACAAAAUUAAUAUAGGACCAAUUUUUUCUGUCAUGUAGCCAAUGAACUAAUUUUCAUAUUAGAGACAAAUUUUUUUUUUUUUUUUUGAAGAUAUAAAAUGUUAAGAUAACUUUAAGUUUUUCUGUUUAUUAUUGUUUUUAGUGAUUUUCUAAUGAAUGCAUGUUUUGCCCUUGAAGGAAAGUGAGGACAGUGAUAUGGAAAAAAUUCAACGGUGACCGGAGGUUUUACCUACGGAGACAUAGGUUUGCCGGUUACCAGUCAGAAAUUGCACGUUCGGUGUUUUGUCUAUGUCCUUUAGGGUGGGCCCCAUGGAGUCCUAGACUGGUUGAAUCCGUUGCAUUAGGUUGUGUGCCGGUAAUCAUAGCAGACAGUAUCCGGUUACCAUUUUCCUCCGCCGUGAACUGGCCGGAGAUUUCAGUCACGGUGGCGGAGAAAGAUGUUUGGAGGCUGGGUGAGAUAUUAGAAAAAGUGGCUGCUACAAAUCUUAGCAUUAUUCAAAGAAAUUUGUGGGACCCACGUACAAGGAAAGCACUACUUUUCAAUAGUAGGGUCCAUGAAGGAGAUGCCACGUGGCAGGUCCUACAUUCUUUGAGUGAAAAGGUGGAUAGGUCUUAUAGGAGUUCAAGGGUUUCACGCCAAUUAGAAUUUGACACGUAAUGGGUAUGUAUUUGGUAUUAUUUUGAUUCUUCACACAGUAGAUUUUCACACACAUUGUGAUUAUUGCAUGGAGAAGAAUAAAUGAAAAAUUAGGAAAAUUAUUAGUGGUUUACAGCUGGAAAUUUUGUGGGUGAUGACAUUAAUGGGACCCACAGGAGUACUUCGAAGUAUAUUAAUGGUGACAUGGCUAGCAUUGAUUCGAUGUCCGUGCGGUUUGGAAAAGGAAAAGGAAAAGGAACUAUGAACUGAAUAGUUUGAGUAAUCAUCAUGCAAAUCUAAUGUAUGGUAGAUUUUGUAAAAUCAUUUUUGUUGUAAAUAAAUAUACUAUAGUGCUAUGAAUAUACAUAUACAUUUUUUGAAAUCAUAUGCUUUGAUGUUAUAUUUUGGAUCGAUAAAAAAAAUAAGAAUUGUGGGUAUAUUACAAGGUCAUUUGUACAUGCUAGAUGAAGUUAUAUUUUUGGACAUUACUAUUUUAUAGAUUUUAAUUUGUUACAGUAGCUCGAAAGUGGGUAAAGGUAAAUUGUGUCAGAUGGGUGAGAAAAAGUCUUGGGAAAAUGAAUAUAAAUGUGGGGAAAGGGGUGAGUGAAAUGAUUAAUGAGAAUGGAAGAUAGAUAGGGGAAGAAGAGGGAAAUAUGGGAAGUGGGGGUGUGGUUGUGUCAGGAACUUUAUUAUGGUAGUUUAAUUUGAAUGAGUAUCAUUGAAAGGUAAUGGGAUGUCAGUGGUCACGGAUACGGUAUGGGGUGUCAAAAUCAAUGUUGCCUUGGGGAGAAUCCAACCAUGCUAUGGUGUUAUCACACUCUUUCUUGUUAGUUCUGCAUGAUAAUAGUAGAAAUAGUAGAAAUUUUGCUCUUUUUCCUACACUUUUCGCUUGCAUCCUGUAGACUUAUCCAAAAUAUUCAUGUGUUAGUUAACCAACGUAAGUGUAAAUUAAUGUGUUAGUCAAUUAACUCUGCGCUAUUUAAGUAACACAUGUGUAAUGCUAAAAUUUCUUCAAAAAAACUAAAAUUUCUACAAAUAAAGUGAAAUUAAGUAGGGUAAUUAUCACUUACUUGAUAUUUUAGAAGAAAUUGGCUUUGAAUGGCGCAAAAAUGGUGAAAAUCGGAUAUGGGGGAAAAAUUCGAAGUUGGGAAGUUUAGGAAAUGAGGGAAAUGUGUUUCUGUUUUGCUGAAAUAUGACUCAAUUAACCUGCGCAAGUUAACUCACGGAGUGCUACUUAAGUCACGCAUAGGACUCAACGUGCGCAUGUUAAGUCACGCAGCGUGACUUAACUUGCGCAAGGGUAAUUUGGACAAUGCUGCAGGGCGCGAUCGUUUUGUGCUGGGUGAAGAGCAAAAUUCUAAUCGUAGGUUGGUUUUACACGGGAAAACCCAUAUACUUUAAAAUGAAUGACGUAGCGUAUCCACUGUGUAUCCUGCACCGAUACAUGUCUGAUAUUUCCCGAUACGUAUCUGGAGAGUAUCCAAAGAUUAAAUUAUUUAUUUUUUUUAAAAACAAUUAUCCGAUACUUUUUCAGAUACAUAUGGGAUACAAGCGAUAUACGGUGGAAAACCGAUAUGUGCGGGCUACCUGAUGUUUUCUAUUUAGGAUAUAUAUAUAUAUAUAUAUAUAUAUAUAUAUAUAUAUAUAUAUAUAUAUAUAUAAUUGACUAAUUGUUGCUUUCUUUAUUAUCAACAUUACUUACAUUUAUAUUUCUAUUGUUUUCGCUGUCUGUUUUGUGUCUCUUUGUUUGUUUGAGAAUGAUGCUAUUGUUGAUUGUUGUGUGAAGGCAAAUUCAUUGUUGUGCCUUAUCGUUUUUCUAUGUCUAUUUGGUCUAGAUUUUGUGCCAAUUUUUUUGCUUUUGAGUUUUAGUCCAUAUUUUGUAUUUUGAGUUUUAAUAUGUAGUUUAAAUUUAAUUUUUUAUUGAAGUAUCCCAGCCGUAUUGUAUCUUAAAUUUUAAAAUUUUCCCAUAUCAACGUAUCAGUUUCUAUUCGUAUUAUGUAUAUGGACUUCGUAAGUUUUACACUACUUAUUAUAUGAAGAAUAGUACAAUACCACUAACGAGGUCAAAUUAAAAACAAAAAUUUACACUUUAUUAACUUCAUUAUUUAUUUUUAUUUUUACAAAAUUACAAUAUGAUUGCUUAACUUCAUUCAUUUUAGAUGACAAUUUGAUUCCUUAUUUUUGUCAUGUCAUUUUUUUUUUAUCUUUUGACUUGUUGAACUUUUUAAUGAAAUUACGAGUUCAAAACAAAUGUCGAAUGAGCAGUAAAAAGUAAUUUUAUUCUGAUCUAUAUCAAUAAGGUGAUAUGCAAAAUUGUGCAAAUUUGAGUGGAACUAUACUUAUGAGUGAUAUCAUGGAAUUAUGGGGAAAAUAGAUUGAACUGAUACACAGAAAAGAGAUUCGAAUUAUUGAUAACUAAUUUGGUGUUAUGUCUGAGAGGUUGAUGAUGGAAGCAAUCUAUUUACUACGACGUGUGAUAUAGUGAUAUCAGAUGGAUAAAAUAUAUUUGCAUUUAGUUUUCCUUAAUUUAGAGAAAUCGUAUGAUAGAAUGCUUAGCGAGAUUUUGUGGAAAGCUCCACAGAAGAAAACAUUUAGGAUUUCUUAUAUUUGAGUUAUGAAUGAGUUCCAACUAAUAUUUGAGUGCAUGAAUGAGUUUCAACUAAUAUGAGGAUGCAAGAUGGGGCUAAUGACUAUUUCCAUAAGAGUAGGAUUACACCAAAGGUUAAUCAUAAGCACUUAUCCUUUUACUUUAGUUUUGGAUGUACUUACAUAACACAUCCAAGAGAUAACUUCCAAAUGUAUGUAUUUUGCAUAUGAUAUAGAGUAGAAAUUACUCUAUAACUUGAGAGUUUUUUUUUAUUUUAUUUCAAUGAGAGUGGUGCUCCUUUUAUAGGAGAGAAUACAACUAAUAACCUCUUUAAUUUAAGAAGUGAUAUAAUGAAAAAUAAACGACCAUUAAAAUAAAAUAAUAAUAAAAGGAAAUAAUAUAUAUAUAUAUAUAUAUAUAUAUAUAUAUAUAUAUCAACACUCUCAAUCAAGUUGGUGCAUAUAUGUUGUUUGUUGAUUUGAUGGCACAAAAGAUGAUUUUUUUUUACCUUGUAUGCCAAAAAAAUUUUAAAUAUGACCCCUAUCAGAUUUAUUUUUCGAAAUGACCCACUUUUUAUUUUUGUCCAUUUGUUUUUUGUCGUUUUCCUCAUUCAUGCCUUUUGAAACGGCGGGAAUGAGUCCCUCCCUGACCAUGCAGAUUUGACCUUUUUUUUAUUUUUUUUACCGUAGUUUGAAUUGGCGGGAAUGAAUAUUUGAUUUUUUUUUCUUUCCGUUUUUUGUUUUUUUUGGACAACAUUUGUUUAUUUAAAACACAAAUAAUAAUAAAUAAAGGCUCGUGGAGAGAUAAGUGUAACACUCCGUUUUCCCAACUUGAUUUUUUUUGCAUAAAUCAGAGUAAACAUUUAAAACAGGAUGUUACACUUCUUUCAAACAUAAAUAUAGUAAAAUUGCUAUUUAUUUCAAUCAUCUCAUGUCAUCAAUUUAAAUCUCAAUGCAACGGAAAACUUUUAAUUUAAACAUCGGAAUGGCACAACAACCUCAACUUAAACAACUUAUUAAAAUCCAGUCUUGGCAAAUCUUCAACAUAAACCAUAACAAUUACGUAACACAUGGAAAACAAGUAAAGAUUCUCACCCCGUUACGUAUCAGAGCGACCCUAAGACGACACGUGAGAGAGUCACUCACUUCAACAGCUAUCCUUGAUUAAUCUGCACGUUCCCACGUAGUAGGAACAUUCAAACAGAAGGGGUGAGAUUUCACAUUCAAUAAUAAUAAGCAUAUAUUUCAUCAAAUGCAUUUAACAACAUCGAGAUCAUCAAUUAAUAAUAAUAAUUCUUCAUAUAAUACUUCAUUAACAACUCAUUGAAAAAUGACAACUUAACGACAACGACAAUGCGACAUCAACCACUUCAACUCGACAAUGCAACUACAACUUCUUAAUCAUGCAUGUGGUACCAACCAGGGCAUCAAGCCCCCAACAUAUAGAGCAUAAAUAUACACAUAGAGCAUCAAACCCUCAACUUAAAGAGCAAAUAGGCUCACAGGGCAUCAAGCCCUCAACAUAAAGAGCAAAGGCUCACCGGACAUCAAGCCUUCAACUUUAAAAGAGUAUGCAUGGACUUAGCAACUUACAACUUAGACAACUUCAACAACUUAUAUGAAUCCAAUAUUUUGAAACAACAACUUACAACUUUGCAACUUAGACCAACACUUGCAACUUAACGAUAUUAAUAAUCAAUAACAGUAGAGACAACAACAUAAAACAACUUGCAACAUAGCAACAUUAAUAACAACAACUUGAAUGAUAUAAACAUCAAUAUUUUCUAUAUCAAACAUUUUCCACAUAAUAAAUGUAAUUGAAAAUAACCAACAACAUUGAUCAUUUAAAUUCAGACUCUCUGAAAGGCAAUACCUUUGUAAACAACUUCCACUCCUACCCCAAAGACCAACUCAUAACAUCAUGUGCGACAAAGAUCGUAAUAAUCCUAAACAAGGCUGACUGCCACUGAGUACUCGCGAGACGAGACACUCUACUCGCUAUGGCGAGCUCAGGAAAAAGGGGUACUCGCUAUGGCAAGUAAGCUACUCGCCAUGGCGAGCUAAAACUGAUGGCUCUCGGGAGUUUGACAUUUUUCACUCAAAAAUUCCAUUUUUAACUUCCCUAAGUCCAAACUUAAUCCAAAAACUUGCCUAAUCAUUUCUAAACAUGAUAAGGCUCUCAAAACCAUCUAAAACUUGACCCAAAACGUUAAUUCACAAAAUCAUGUUUUUCUCACUAGGUAACUCGCUAUGGCGAGCGAUUCACUCGCAAUGGCGAGCGACAUCUGGGCUCACUCGCGAGGCGAGGGGAAUUACUCGCAAGGCGAGCGAUGAGUUUCAUCACUCGUGAGGCGAGAAUAGCUACUCGCUAAGGCGAGUGAUGAAUGUCAGCACGGGAAGAAUGCAGUUUUUCUCAAAAACUCACCCAAAUCCAUGGUUCUAACCUUAACACUAAUUCUAAUCAUUGUUCUAUGAAUAGUCUAAGGUCUGGACACUAUUUCUACAUCAAUUCAACAGGUUCCUACCCUUAAUUAAUCAAUUCUCCAACUUUUAACAUAAUUCUCAAAUCCUCAAAACUACAACCUACCACUUGUUAAAUCCAAUUUUCAUAGUUAUAACACUUAGAAUUAGAGAAAGUUAGUCCCACCCUUACCUUAGGCUAAUCGAUCAAAAGCUUCUCCUCCUUGGUUCUUCUCUUCUCUUGGUUUCUCCCUUUUUCUCCAAAAACUUGUUUUACGUGAAAACUAUUUUGACGUUUGUUUCUCUUAUUUAUUUCCCCAACCCUCUUUAUCUUAUUUCCACUUAUUCCACUAAACUCUUCUAAAUUCCAAAACAGCCCCCCACAACUUAAUAUUAUUAUAUUUUCAAAUCUUAUUCUAUUAAUAAUAAAAUAAGUCACUUAAUAAAAACAACAACACACCACAUAAUCAUUUAAAUCACAUAAAUCAUAUAAACAGACUCUAAAUCCAAUAAAAUAAUCAAAUAAUUAAAUAGGGCAUUACAAUAAGCAUCAUCGUCAAGUCCAAAAAUUGGAACCAACAUCAUCAAUUAGUACUUCACGACGUUCGGUAUAACCAUGAGGUUUAUCCAAAUCGUCAAUAUUUUGCAUGGUAUUGAUAAUUUUUCCGAAAUCAUUUGUGGCUUUCUAGAGAAGUAUUAUUGACAAACCCAAGGCAAGCAUGUGCAAGAAUUUUACCACGAUUGUCGCGUGACUAUCCUGCAGCGCCAGAAACCUAUACGGUGCCAGAUGAAAAUGUGUGGUCAAAUACACCUCCACCCUACAACAAAUUCAUGACACCUCCACCCACUAACUUUGACCAAAGCUUUAACCCAUCCACCAACUACAACUACAACCAAACAUACCAAUCACUGCCACAACCCACAAACCAAAUCUUACAUAACACCCCAAUCCCAUAUCCAAGCUAUUCUCAACAAAGUCAUCAUGGAGAAAGCUCCUGAACAUCAAACUAUUCAUUUGAUGACUUUAAUCCAACUCAGUACACCACACAAACUAGUUACCCAGACCAAUCACAAUACUCCUCGUUCAACCUACCCACCCCUCCACACAUCGUAAACUAUCCUCAAACAAACUACGCACCUCAAUGACCAAAUUCACGAACUAAUACCAUACAAAAUCUGGCAGCAGGGUUUAAUGACGAUGACUUCUUUAAUGAAAUCUGGACCAACUCAGCUCAACAAGUGCAAAAUGAAGUCACUAUAAAAACUAAUGAUGAUGCUGAAAUUCCUGACGAGGAUGUGGAACAGGAAGAGCACGAGGAAGAGGAAGAGCAAAAUCAACGACCUGUACGAACUAAAAAAGAUAAAUUAUGUGCUACGGGAGGUCAUAAUUUACAUUGGCGUAAAUGGAUGAUGUGGAGAAAGUAAUUUUUGUUUUUAUUUCGUUUGAAUAAAAUAAUUAGUGUUUUUUUAAAUUAAUAUUGAUUAUCAUUAUUUAUUUAUUAUUAUUUGUGCUUUAAAUAAACAAAUGUUGUCAAAUAAAAAACAAAAAAACGGAAAAAAUCAAAUAUUCAUUCCCGCCAAUUCAAACGGCGUUAAUGAAAAAAAAAUUAAAAAUAAGUUAAACCUGUAUGGCCAGUCAUGAUUUGACAUGUGUCAGGGAGGGGGCUGAAACAGCGGGAAUGAGAAAAACGACAAGAAAAAAAUGGACAAAAUAGAAAGUGGGUCAUUUUGGGAAAUAAAUAUGAUAGGUCAGAUUUGGAUUUUUUUUGAUAUACAGGGUCAACAAAAAUUUCACAAAAUGUAGACAUAGUAUUCCAAAAUCUAUUUUCAUUUUGGGAAAUAAAUCUGAUAGGGUCAGAUUUGGACUUUUUUUUGGCAUACAGGGGGGUCAAAAAAAAAUUCACAAAAUGUAGACAUAGUAUUCCAAAAUCUAUUUUCUCUUUUAUAAAGUGACGAUAGAUUUCAAUAUACUUUAUUCGAUCAUGUUAAACUGGAUUAUGGACUAUACUUAUUGCAGCCUUGUUGUCACAAAAUAAUUUCAUGAUAGUUUACAUCUCAUCCCAUGUACCAAUUUGCCUCUCGCUAUUGCAUAAUCAGUGACUUCAACAACAACUAAUUUAACCUUAUUUUCAUCAUAAUAAUUAUGACAAUCAAACACAUGUUCAAGCUUUUUCUCACACCCUAAAUAUAACUCAAAAUCAUUCUUACCUUUGAAUGCGGGAAUCGUCAUCUUAAUGCUUCCGAAAUGGUUAUAUCUUCUUGAUCCAACUCUAUGCAUCCUAUCAUUACUCUUUCCAUCUGAAUACUCCUCUUAUUUUGAACUUGAAUGUCUUUGACUAUUUUUGAUGAAAUUAUGUGUGUUUUUUAUAAUACUCUUAACUAUUUAUUAUUUCAUUCUAUUUUUUUUUUCUCUCUACAAUAAAUAUGUAAGAGUAUUAUUGUCAAGACAAUAAUUAAUGUUGCAUUGAAAUUUGAAAGCGAUAAGUAUUGUGAAACAAAAUUAUUCUCUAAAAUGAACAAGUAUUAUGAAACGGAGGGAGUGACUUUUAAGUAAGAUUCUUUGGAUUGAUUCUACACAACUAGACGCAUCAAGGGUUGAUUAAUAACUUUGGGGAAAGAAACAACAAGGAACGAUAGGUAAAUAAUUAAUAAAAUGAGAUGAAAAUAUAUAAUUUCUAAAACUGGAUCCAAAUUCAGGGAAAUGGAUUCGUUGAAUUCAUGUGUUUGAACAAUGAAAGGAACUUUGGUGAAUGAACAACAAGGAAAUAUAUUGGUGAAUUAAAAUAAAGUAGUAAUAAAGCUUCAAGGAUUGGAAUAAUGAAAGAAAUGGAUGAAUACCUUUGCUUUUUACCCAAUUUUUUUUCUUCUGAAGUUUUUUUUUUUAUCUUUUGUUUUUUUGUUUAUAUUUAGUUUUCUGAACUGAUUUUUUUAGAGCAAAAUAAGAUAAUCUAAGAUAGAUAACAUUUAAUUUCAAGAGCCGAAACUUUGAUCUGAACUGAUAAAUGACCAAUUAGAAUCGUCUUAAAAAAAUGCAAGGAAUUUGACGCUAACCACGACCUACCAGUUAAACCAAAGUUAUUAAACAAAAGUGGAACUCUAAUCAAGACCUGCCCAUAGAACCAAACCAACAGUAUAUAUUCCUUACAUGUCAUUUUGCUCUUAAUUCAGCAACAAAAUAAAAAGGACACGAAAGAGAGAUGAAGUGCAUGACCUAGCUAACACAACUAUCACUUAAAUCACGAAUAGGGAGAAUUUGAGACUAUAAAUAUUUAUCAAUUCUCUAUUAUUUUCUAGAAAUUGCUACCAUUCCCUAUUAGCUUAUUUGUUUUUACAUUCAUACAGACUGAGGCUUUUUUAUCGGCACUCUUGGCCUUUUCAAGUCACCUUUGUAUAUUAUUUUCCUUUGCUAAAUCCAUUUGAGCCUAAUUAACCUGGACUUUUUUUUUUUAUAUCAUAUUAACCUUCUUUAGAGUUAGGUAGAAGCAUUAAUUUCCUUGUCAUGAUUUGAUAUUAAAUUUGGGGUUGCUUCUAAAAUUAGUAACAUUCUAAGAUUGGGGUAGACGUACUAGAGAAAUAAAACACACAUAAAAAAAUGUCUCUUAUAAAACUAAAACAAAGAGCCAUUAAUCUCACAAAGCAUGACUUCUUUAAACAAAAAAUUAAGAGAAAUAAAAAUAAAAUAUUUCUCUUAGUGCCAGAUUAGAAUGGCAGGAUCUUUUAGUAAUUGUUGGUUUCCUAAGAAGGAAAAAGUAGUAGUAUACAACUCGAAUUUAGCCUACUUUUCUUAAAAUGUCUCACCUGUUCUUAAGUCACGUUAUAACCCAUAAAGUCUUUAAAAUUGUAUAUUUUUUACCAACUUUGAAUAGUUGUUUAGAAUGUUUUCAAACCUCUGGUUAAAUGACAUGUACAAGUUGACCAAAUGGUAUCCCUAUUCAAUAAUGAAAGAAUAUGUGAACUUGAGCGAAAAAAAAUUAUGUUUAGUUAGCAUCUCUAUAAUCAUUUUCUUGGAUCUAUAUGGAUUAAAGUUGUAAGAGAGAAGGUAUUUUAUGGACAUGACUAUGGAGGUUAAACCGGUAGUUCGAUUGUAGGGUGAGGUAAAAGAUUUUUGGAAUUUUUAUCAUUAAAGAAACUUUUUUUAUUGUACUACAUAAUUUUAUUUUGAAACUAAGAGCCUUGAGAACAAGCAACAGUUCAAAUUUAGGGUUGUUAUGACACUCAGUUAUAUAAUAUUUUUAGACACUUUUUGAGGCUUUUCGGUAACAAAAUGAACAAUUCAUUCUCAAGAGCUAAUAUUGUGAAAAAGACCUUGAAACCAUGCAAAAUAACCUUAAACAGACAACUUUACGGUCAAGUAUUAUAUUUUACAAGACAUGUCAAGUGACUCUUGAGGUACAGUCAUUACAAACAUUUCACUAAAAGAAAUGAGACAAGGAACAAAGAAAACCAAAAGAGCAAGUUUUUGCCUCAUGCACGUUACACAAGAGAAGCCUACCUGUAACGCAUGAUAAGGAUCCACUGUCUCAUGUGUAUUACACACUAGGGAAUGGCGUCGCCCUAGGCUAUUAUUGAAAUUGUGGAUCACAAUUCAUUUUAAUAACCAGCACCCGUAACAUAAUUGGGUUGGAUUUAUUUAUUUAUUUAUUUUUUUUACGGAAAAGACGUAGAAGGUGAUAUUGAAAGGUGGAGGUUGUGGAAUUGUAGCACCCAGGCUGAUGAGAACGGAGAGUGGUCGCCGAUGCACAAGGCACGAUAAUGAGCGGCUCCCGACAACUUAUAGACGAAUCGAAUCACACCGGAAUGAGAGGGAUCCCGAGGUCGUGCAUGUAUGAGACUGCAUGGUUGAAGGAAGACUAAUAAUAAUUAUUUGGUACUACAUAUAUCAACAAGAUGCAUCUUCUUUCCGGUAGCUCAUUCUAAAAGUACUCCACAAUUAAGCGUGCUUGACUUGGAGUAGUCUUUGGAGGGGUGACCUACCGGAAAGUUUCUCGGUAAGCGUGCGAGUGGGGACAAAACACACUGAAAAGACUCGUGUUAGUUUGUUGGGUCAGUCCACAAUGCUUAAAGUCGUCUGGGAUGUUACAAAUGGUAUCAGAGCAGACCUCUCCCAGUACUGUGUGGUUCGGGGAUGAACCUAGUGGAAGCUAGUCGGCAUGUAACACCCAAGUUGAUGAGGGCGGGGAGUGGUCGCCGGUGCAGAAGGCACGACAAUGAGCGGCUCCCGACAAAUUAUAGACGAACCGAAUCACACCAGAAUGGAAAUCCCGAGGCCGUGCAGGUAUGGGACUGCAUGGUUGAAGGAAGACUUAUAAGAAUUGUUUGGUGCUACCUAUAUCAACAAGAUACAUUUUUUUGGUAGUCCAUUCCAUAAGAACUUCACAGUUAAGCGUGCUUGACUUGAAGUAGUCUUUGGAUGGGUGACCUACCGGGAAGUUUACCGGUAAACGUGCGAGUGAGGACAAAACACACUGAAAAAAUUCGUGUUGGUUUGUAGGCUUAGUCGGCAAUGCUUAAAGUCAUCUGGGAUGUUACAGGAAUUCACUUGGAAACAAGUUCUUUUAGAUUAGGUGAAGAAGAAGAUCUUCUCUUUACGUACUUGAACAUGUAAUUGUUAAGUAUCUUUGAAUACAGUUCUAAGAUUAGUUUAUUCAGUUAGUAUUUAUUCUUAGUACAUUGUAUAUGUUUAUGAAUAUCAUAAACUUAUUUAGGUUUUGAAUUAUUGUUGACCCUAGCUUUUGAGGCUCGACCUAAUAUUAGCUAUUCAAAUGGUAGUAACUUUAGGGAUAUUCUAUCACCAUAGCAUACUAAGUAUUAAUGUACGAUCAAACUUUCAAUUAUCAUGAACUCCUCUAAGAAAUUAGGAUGUUAUGAUUAGAGAAUAAACUUAUGCGACAAAUAAUUUCUCAUAACUAUUUUGUUAAUUCGUCGAUAUUCUAAGCGAACAAUUGUAGUAGGUGGACCCCAUUAUUUCAAGUGAUGAAAGAGGAAUGAAUCGAAACUAACCUUAUCAAUCUUAUACUUUUGUCAACCAAUUUAAUGCCUUGUACAUCCUGCCAACUCACACAUCUGAAGUAUAAAUAAUUUGUUUUAUUGAAAUAGAAACAACGCUUGUAGAGACAAACUUAUAAGUUUUACUAUUUGACGGAAAUUUAAUCUAAUUGCUAAAUUAACCAUCUUUGAGUACGAAAUAAAAUUAACAAAGAUGUAUUUUAAAAUUUUAACAGUUGUAAUACAUGUACAUGUACUCUAUUACGACGAUGUUAAAGAUUAAUUUUGUUAUCAAUUAUUAUUUUAAGUGUUCUUUGAAAAAUUUCUUAUUCUAAAUUCUUACUCUUAAUAUUCUAUAUCCAUUUUACAUCUAUGUCUCUGUCACUCUAUCCCUCCUCCGCCCCCUCUCAUAUAUAAUUUCUUUGUUUUUCGCAUCACAUGAGCACAUAAUGGGUAUAAAGAGGAAACCCAAAUUUACGGUUGAUAAAAAUUAGGCUUAAUCACAUCUAGGAUGUUUGCGGUGCGGUUUAGUUCGAUUUUGAGGUUAAAAGUCAUUCGAACUGCAAAAUAAAUAAAUAUGCAGUUUGGUUCGGUUUGGUUGACUUUUAAAAUUAAAUUCGAACCAAACCAACUCAAACCAAUGCGGUUUGGAUUGGAUUGGUUGGUGCGGUUUUUUUUAUAGAAUAUUUAUUUUUUGUUUUCAACAUUAAAAUCAAAUUAAAAAGCUAAAACACUACAUAUUUUCAACAAUGUUUUUAAAUUUAAUCCAACAUUACAAUUUUAUUUUCAUCCAACAGUGUCCCCAACUACGUAGACCAAAUUAAAAUGUGGACAAAAAGUAAUCAUAUUAUGUAAGAAAUGCAAAAGACUAAAUUUUUUAUCAUUCUCUAAGAGUUCAAGUAGUACAUAAAUACAUUUUUGAAACAAAAAGCAAAGAAGAAACUUAACAAGAGAAAAAACAUAUGUCAUUUUAUUAAAGUUUUCAUUAAGUUUAUACGAGUAUUGGUGUAAGUGACAUAUAUUUAAUUAGUGUUUUUCUUAUAUCGCGGUUUGGUUUGGUUUGGUUCGGUUGGUAAAAUCAAAACGCAAACCGAACAAAACCAUGCGGUUGAGUAAAAAAUUGAUCCGAAUACAUCCAAACUAAAUGCGAUUUCGGUUUGGAUUGAUUCGGUUUGUGGUUUUUCUAUUGGAUUGAUUCGGUUUUGAACACCCCUAAUCACAUCAAAGGCCCCUUAACUAAUUAUGGGAUUUCAUGUUGGCCCCCUUAUUAGUUUUUGUUCCAUUAUAGUCCUAUAAUUUACCUCCGUCUACCACUUAAAACCAUUCCGACAAUUUUAAAUGAAAAAAAACAUCAAGUUGCUUACAUGGACGUUGAGUUGGAAAGUGUGGGGGUUGGAGAUAAGGCUGUGAUGUGGCAUAUUUGAUUUUAGAGAGUUACGUAGAGAGAGAAACAAUUAUCUUCUUCUUCCUCUCUGCGAACUUGCGAGAAUGGAGAGAAGAAGCAAUGAUUUUGCCAACACAAAAGGGAUUGUUGUGCUAGUAGUAACAAAUCUUCAUCACCACCAACAAAAAGCAAUAUAUUUUCAGCCAUCAAGAUCUAGCAUUUCACAAGUGAAAGGUUUCGAAAACAGAGCACCACCUUAUGUUCUUGUUGAAGAAGAAACAACGAAGGAAGUGUUGUCAAAAACACCCAAAUGGAAGAAACCAAAUGAUCAAAUAUGCAAGCAUCACCAAUUAUCUUCAGGAAAUUGGCUUCUGGCUUCUUCUUCACUUACACAACAACAUUAGCUUUUUCAAUUUUCCCUUAUGGACAAUCAUGAUUAAUAUGUAUGGACUUGGCACUCUUAAAGCAGAUAAUCUCAACCUCCUUGCACUGGUUAGUGUACUGCCCUUUACCAUAUUUUCCACACCUGAUGGGUUUUAAUGCUUAAGACCCUCCAUCAACAUUCUCGCAAAUCAAUGUGACUCAAUGUACAAAGUGAUUUUAAGAAAAAGUGUUUAAUUUUAAAGAAUUAAUGAACAAUGAGUUUUUGAGACCUAGGGAGAAUAGAUGCAAAUGAUUCAAUAUUUUGGAAGUUAUGGGAAAGUGAAUAUAUAUAGAAAAGGAGGGUAAGUGCAAUUUUUCGUCCAAAAACAACUAUGUGAAUCGAUUCACUAAAUGACUGAAUCGAUUCAGUAGCUAAAAUACAAGAUUGAAAAGAAGAGGAAAGUUAUGAAGAUUAAUACGUAUCAUAUGAGUUUUGAGCAUAGUUUUAAAAAUUGGACCGGACGUUGACUCGACAAGGGCGUUGGGUCACUGGGUCAUUGAUUGACCUACUAAGUUACUGGUUGACUCGAUAAUAUGACCCGAUCUUUAUAAAAAAAAAAAAUUAUAAGUACUAAAAUUGUGUUUUUAUUAAAAAUAUAACAUUGCUCAUUCUUUAGAAAAAAUAUAACAUCGCACAUAACAUUGUUGCUUUUGUAAUUUUAUCAACAACAAAAAAAUUUGCUUUGUAAUUGAAAAAAUAAAAACAUUGCUUUGUGUUUUUUUUGGACACGGGUGUUAAUGUUGGGCUUAUCACAAACCCUAUAUCUAAUAGUUCCAACAACAUCAGCUGCUGCAGCCGCACAAGGGUUCAACUUUCUUUCUCUUUCUCAGUUUCUCUCUUACUACUUCUUCCUCUUCCUAUAUAAUGUGAUGCAGUUGCAAGAUCCUUCUCCCUUUCCACUGCGUGUUUCAGAUUCAAGUCCCUAAACCUUCGUUCUUUUCUCGGUUUUUUUAAAUGCUAAGUAUUGGACCGGUCCGGUUUUGUAAACCGUCUGAGUCAUCGGAUUUGACCGGUUUUUGCCGAGCUGUGCUAGUUUACACCGGUCUAAUCACAUGGCCGAUCCAAUGAAUAACUUGAACCGGACACCCCACUAGUUCGUGGUCCGACCGGUUGAAUCGGCCGAUCCGGUUUUUAUAACUAUGGUUUUGUGUCAAUUCAAAAUACCCAGAAAGAAGGUUGAUAUGACUCAAAAUAGUUUGAAACGAUUCAUGGCAAGUCAGAUUCAAACAUAUUUGAGGCGAUUCAAAAAUGAAUCGAUUCAGAAUUUUAUGAAACGAUUCACACAAAGUUAGAGACUGUGUGUGAUACAAUUCAGAUAAAACUGAGUCGAUUCAAAUAGAAGAAAACACAGUUUAGACAGUAGGAAUGAAAUUUUCUUGGGUCACAAGCAAGGAGGAACACAAUGAAUCAUUUAGUGCAAGGACACAUACAUUUCUUGGGUGCUUUAAUAAAUUCUAAGACAACCUAUCAAAGAAUCAACAUGCUAAACUAAUAAAUCUUAUUUGAUCAAGACUUAGAAUAACAUCAUCAAAAACCACUUAUAGUUAGAGGCUUCAGAGAAUAGAGUAUUUGACGGGAAAAGUCGCGAGCGAGAAGGUCGGAGCAGUCCUUGGCGAAAAGGAAUGUUGGGUCGGCGAGGAUUGUUCAGAGGAGAGAUCAAAUGGGAAAUGGAGGAAUCAAGAAUUAGCCUCAUCAGAGAGACGCCGACGAAGUUAAUCCUCUCUCUACAAAUCUCUCUAAAAGAUCAAAUAUGCCACCUCAGAACCUUAUCUCCAACCCAUAUUGCCACUCAGCGUCCAUGUUAGAGUCUUAACAUUUUUUCAUUUAAAACCGACGGAACAAAUUUAAGUGGUGGACGGAGGUAAAUUAUAGGACCAUAAUGGAGCGAAAAUUAAUAAGGGGACCAACAUGAAAUCUCAUAAUUAGUUAAGGGACUAUUUGUGUAAUAAGCCUAAAAAUUAUUAUGAAAUCUAAGUAGUAUAAAAUAAAAUAAAAAUAAGUAGUCAUAAAAUCAAAUUUGUUUUUUUUAGGUGGUGACCGAGGUAAAUUAUUAAUUGGUUUGAUUUUUUAAAUACGAUUUGAAAAGAUUAAAAUAUGAUUCAUUUUAUGUUGACCGACGACCGAAGACUUUGAUUUCUUGACCGUAACAAUUUUUUAUUACAAAAAAUGUAUUAGAUGGUAUUAAUACAUAUUUAUAUUUUAUAGGAAAAAAGUACAAAUUUUAAGGAAAAUAUUAUAAAUACUAGGUGACAUCGUUAAUAACUUCAUAAAAUAUACAUGUCCUCAAUUAUGAUGAACAACAAACAAAUAUCGUCAUCACUCUCUCCAAAAUCCAUGAAUUUACCUGUUCACAACAAAAUAGCGGCCACACUCCCAGGUAUCUCCUCUGUCAUGGGAGGAGAUAAGAGAAUGGAAAGUGUCCAUCAAGCAACCUCCUCGAAAAAGCCAAGGGGUAGACCCAUUGGCUCAAAGAACAGGGCCAAAGCACCCAUCAUUGUCAACGAAAACAUUGACAACCUCAUGGAAUUGAUUUCCAUUAAGAUCCCUAAGGGGAAUGAUGUUGUGGAGACUCUCAUAAAUUUGUCUCUGUAUCGUCAAGCUGGAAUCACCGUGUUAAGUGCUUAUGGUCUUGUUUCUAAUGUGACGAUUCUGAAUCCGAUUUUCGGUGUCCCUAAUUUUCCAAUUGAAGGAACAUACCAAAUGACAUCUUUACAUGGCACUUACCUGAAAGCCACUCAUGGCCGCGUUCCUCCCCAAUUAAUUGCUGAGCCAACAUUUUCCUCUUUUUCCAUUUAUAUGAAGGCCAAUUAUGGCAAUUACGUGUUUGGUGGAAUCGUUGCGGGGAAGGUCAAGGCUGCUGGUGCUGUUUUCAUUACAGCCGCUCUUUUGAAAAAUCCAGAGUUUCAUAGGGUGGCUGUUUUCAAUGGCGGUGUCACCCGAACCAUUGAUGAUUUUGCGCCAAAUGUUGGUGUCAUGGGUCCUGAUUCGGCUCACCGGAAUCAGCAAAUGCUCCCUCUUCCUACUGAUGUGAAUGGCAUGCAUUGGGAUAUCUCCCCUAGCACUUGAUUGUUCGUCAUCAUAAUUUUUCGAGUCUUUUUAAUAUUGAAAUAAAUGAACUGUGUUUCACAUCGUAAUUUUCAGGUCUUUUUAAUGUUUGAAUAAAUGAACAAAAUUUCUGUUAUGUCUUAUUUGAAAAAAGAUUAAUAGCUGAAAUUUUUGUGUCACCAUUACAUGUUUUCAUCAUGUCGUUUAAUCUUCAUUUUAUUUCUUGUCAAUUUUCUUUUCGUUUUCGUGUUUUUGACAGUGAUAUACCAAAUAUUUUCAAUGUUUUUCAUAGUUGUUGAUUUCUAUAUGCUUGCAUUAAUAUUUUUCUAAAUAAAUUUAAAACAUGUAUCCCAAAUUGUUAUAUUGUAACACUCAAACUUAAAAAAAAAGGAUAAAAAAAUAAUAAAAUUUUAGUUAAAAAAAAUCGAAGUUUAAUUAUACUUAUGCAUAAUAUGAGACAAAAAAAAUAAAAAAUUAAAGACGACUGCAACAUGGAGAAAUUGUUGUAUUGUAUUAGUGUAUUUCCAAUUGCACUAGCUAGUUUCUUAAUAACAUUAUAGUACCUUAGAACAAUAAUAUGAAUACAUAACAUGAGAACAAACUAGCAAACUAAAAGCGCAUGAAACAACAAUAAUAACACCGGAGAAUAAUACACAACUGAAAUUAGCAAAUCAAACAAAUUGAAAUCAACAAAUCAAAACAUAGUUCCGUACAUAGAGAAAAUUAUUGUCUUUUCAACUACGUUUUUGGCUUUUCAAUUGAAGAGAAAAAUGCCAUAGUUUUUUUUAAGGGAAAAUGCCAGAAUGGAUUGGACAUCAUGGGCCAAGAGAAUGAUUUGGAUUCGGGCCGAUUUAUACGAUUUAAUAUAGAUAUCUCACUUAUUAAAACAAUUACUUUGAAUCAGUCAAAGUUAUACAUUGACAUAUGUGAAAAUGUUAACUACGAUAUGUAUUUUAUUUUGAAACAGAGAGAGUAGUUGCGUAAAAAAACGAUUUAGUUAGUUAGUGAAAAAACAAUUAUAUCCUUUUGCCAUUUUUUUUUCCUUUAAUUAAAGUUGUAAAUGACAUUUUUUUUCCUAUGCAUUUAAGUGGUUUUGUAAAACGGAUAAUUGAGUUUUCAGAAAUACUAACGAAAAUGAUAAUUUUUUUUAUAAAAAAUUGUGUAUUCAGUACAUUGAAAAUUGAAAUAUUUGACUUUUUUAACAAAUAAUUUUAUAAUUUGAAUUCCUUAAAGAGUGACUUGCAGCACUCGUUGAGUUUUUGGCAAAAGCAAGUGGGAGUAAGUUAGCAACACACACAUAGUGUCAACCAUAUGAUUCUCAAGGGAAAAUGACCUUGAUAAUUUGGAGUUCGACCGGAAGUAAAUAAAGUCUUACUAAUAAUUGUUCGAUUUAGGAAUUGAAUUCGGAUUCUUCUGAACAAUUCUUCAUUGACGAACCUCGUUAACUAAUUGAGCUCAAUUGUUUAGUUAUAAAAUAACAUUUAUUGUACCUAAAUGAUACAUUUUUUUUUUAUAGAGUAUUAAGGUGGUAUUUUAUAGUCACUUAAAAUAAGUUCACAUUCUUUUUAUCAUCGUAAAUAUUUUAACUUUCUGUUUUAGUCUUUUAAAAAAUUUCUUCUACUUUUAGUCAUUCAAAUUUUUUUCUUCAUCGCUGUUGGUCUAUAUUUUUAAAUCAACUCUUGUGUAUGAUUCAAAAUUUUGAAUAAGUUAUUUUCAGGAAUGUUUUGAAUAUUAAAAGAAUCUCAUACAAAAUAUAUAAGAAUGUUUUAACUAAACAUGUUUGGGGUUGUGAUGAUGGAAUAUCAUAUGAUAUUUUUAUUUAGGGUUAAUAUGUAUUUACCCCCUGUAAUUUAGGCGAGUUCCGGUUUAUCCCCUGUAAAAAAAAAAGUUUAGAUUCCAACCUUGUAAAAUAAGAUUCUUUGAUUUUAGUCGCUGACCUAUGUGACUGUGCAGAAUUGCUGACGUGGCGAGCUGAUUUGACAUGCUGACUGUGCAUAUCUGAUUAUGUGGCGUGAUGACUGUAUUUUUUUUAAAGGGUACACGUGGCAUUUGUAUUUUUUUAAAAAAGAUAAAAAUAAAUUAUGGAAAAAUUAUUAAAAAUAAAAAAUAAUGAAAAAAAUAAUUAAAAUGAAAAAACAAUUAUGAAAAAUAUAGAAAAUUUAAUAAAAAAAAAUCUGAAAAAAAUUUGGAAAAAGUUAAAAAAAAUUAAAAAUUCUGGUAAAAAUUUAUAUAUAUCAAAAUUUUCAAAAAAUAUAAAAAAAUUCUGAAUUAAAUUAAAAUUAUAAAAAAAUCGAAAAUAUAAUAUUAUAUAGUUAUUUUGAUUAUGAAAAUUUAUUUCUAGAAUUUUAUUUCAUUCGAAAAUAUAAUCUAGAUGAAUAACAAGAUACAAUGGAUUUUUAGGGAUGGCAAUGGGUACCCAAUGGAUAGGGUACUACAGUGCCCGUCCCCAUACCCGCAUUUAUAAAAAAUACUUGUACCCGUGCCCGUACCCUCGUGGGCAACAUUUUUAGUCCCCUUCCCCAUACCCUAUGGGUACCUAAGUGCCCAUACCCGCAUCCAUUACCCGCACUUUAACUAUGAAAAAAAAAAAAUAUCACAAAAGAAAUAAAACUACGAUCCCAAUUUUUUAAAAUUAACUCAUAAAAUAAUAUGAAUCGUGGUAUUUAGUCAAAUAGAUAACAUCCAAAAUAUCCCUAAAAAAUUAUACACCGGCAUGAUGGAGUUGUUAUUGUAUUAAGCAAUUGUUGGUUUAAAUUUGGGUUUAGGCUUAAAUAGCUAAAUAAAUUAAUUAAUUAUACAUAAAAUAUAAAUAAAUAAUUUAUGAUAUUAUAUAAAUAUGUAUAUGCGGGGUUGCGGGUCUGGGCAAUAUAGUAUCCUUACCCGUGCCCAUACCCAUUUAAUUUUGUGGGUAUUACCCGUACCCGUGCCCAGACCCAUAAAAGCGGGGUUUUACCCUAUCCAUUGUGGAUAUUUUUUGCGGGUACCCAUUGGGUCUGGGUCCAAUUGCCAUCCUAAUUUUGAUUGACACCGGUAUAUAAGUCAUGUUAUACUAUUGAAUAACAAGCCCUUAAUUCUAUUCUUCAUGAUCUAAUGUUAUUUUUUUUUUAAUUAUUGAAAUAUUUUCCAAUAUUUUUAUUUUUUGUAUAAAAAAUAAAAAAAACAAACUUUUUAAUUUCGAAAGAAAAAUCUGAACUUUUUUUUUAAAAAAUAAAAUGUAUUUUCUUAUUAUAUUCAUGAAUUUCGAAAUAUAUUAAGUUCCUGAAUUUUCCAGAAAUAUAAAUUUUUUGAAAUAUAUAUAUUUUUCUCAUAUUUUUAACUUUUUUCAGAUUUUUUUAUUAUUUUUUAAAAUUUUCUAGAACUUUUAAAAUUUUUAUUACUUUUUCCAAAUUUUUUUCAUUAUUUUUCAUUUUACCAGAUUCUUUUUCAUUUUUAUUAGAAUUUUCAGAUUAUUUUUUAUUUUAAUUAAUUUUUUCGUCAUUUUUUUUAUGUUUCAGAAUAUUUUUCAUUUUUAUUAAUUUUUCUAGAAUUUAUUUAAUUUUUUAUGUUUUUUUUAAAAAUCACAAAUGCCACGUGUACCCUUUAAAAAAAAAUAAAAAAUAAAAAUAAUUAUACAGUCAGCGUCCAUUACAGAUGUGUCAGGUUUCAAAAAAAAUUAAAAUUAAAAUAAUUACGCAGUGACGUGCCACAUCAGCGUCUAGAUGGGAUCAUAGGUGUUUUGUGGAGAAUCUUAAUAUUAUAGGGGUGUUUUGUAAAGAAUCUUCAUAUUAUAUGGAAUCUAAACUUUUAUUUUUACAGGGGAGUAAACCGGAACUCGCCCAAAUUACAGGGGGGUAAAUACAUAUUAACCCUUUUAUUUAUUUAUAAGUUUUUAGUUAUUUUCUUUGCAUUUGAAGGCAAAUUAGAAGUCAUUUAGAGGAGUUGUCAAUGGUUUGAGAAACCUUUUGUAUUAUUUUUAUUCGAGUCGUUGUAGUUCAAUUUUAUCACAAAUCAUCAAAUUCCAUAGGUGUUUUUGGUCUUUUUAGUGAAAAAUCAUGUAAAUUGGCAAAACAAGACACCAAGUGGAGGAUCGAAGUUAUGAGGAUUGAAUAUCAAUGGUUCUUAGAAGGUAAUCGAAGACAAUACAAAUUGAAUAAAAUUCAUUUCAAGUUCCAAGGCAUUGAAAGAUGGAAGAAUACUCAAAAAGGUACGAAAACUGCAAAAUUCGCACAAGAGCUGCUGCUUGAUGGGCCCCUGCGCCCAGGUUAUGCGCCCCUACGCAGGAAACAACAUUCAUUGCUGCCUCAUGCACCCCUGCGCCCCAGUUCAUGCGCCUUGCGCAUGGUAUACGAGCAAUGAGUGUGGAUUUCUUGUUAUUCAAGUUGUUUUUAUGGAAAAUGCCCAAUUUUCUUCUCUUAACCCCUAAGUAAUGAUCUACUAUAAAUAGAGACCCUUGUCCACUAUCUUAUUCAUUCAAAAAGCUAGCGAUACAAGGUAAGGGUCAAUCAUCAGAGCUUCAAGACAUAGGAUCUCCAUGCUCUUCUUAGAUGGCUGUUUCUAGAGUCUAAUUUAAUUUGUAUAUGUUCGUUUCUAUACCAUAUCUUAGAUGGAGCAUAUUAGGAUUGACAACCCUAAUUCCGUAUGAGCAAGACAGUUGUAAAGUGCUUAGUUUCUAAUUUAAAUUCUUUUAAUCGAAUCUAAGUAUGAAUUUAGGGCUAUGACUCAUCUUAAGGGAAUGGCGCAAUUGUAGUUGGUUGAAUUGUGACGAUAUUAUAAUAAAACUUCAUAUGGUUCAUCACUAUGUCAUGUUUUACUUUCUUAAUUCCGAAAUACAUGUCAUAAACUAAUAAUCAAUCGAGUUAAUUCCAACAAAGACGGAAGAGGGUAUUCAAGGAUUUCUUAACCGCUGUUAUACUUUUAAAUCACAAAACCUAAUCUCGCAUUAGGCAAGAUUAUUAAAACUCUGCAACCACUUUUAAUUACUUUCAAAUAAAUUCCUCUAAUCACCCAUUCAAACACCAAUACUAAUAAGUUAUAAGAAUGUGUAUAUUCUUGCUUAUCAUAAUUAUCAUUGUGACAAUUUCUUUGACCUUAAUGCUUCCAUAUUCAUAAAAAAAAUGUAUUUGACCUUAACAGCCUUUCUCCUUUAUGACUCGUUAUAUAUGCUCAUUUGUGUGUGAGAAUUUCACAAAAUAGCUCCAGCCCUUCAUUCUGUCAAACUAAAACUUCUACCAAUAAAUAAAAUAACACCAAUAAUCAACUAUAAUAAAUUUUAACCAAAAAAAUGACACCGGAAACAUAAACAUACAUGCACACUAGUUACCAAAUAACUAAACAUGAUACCAUAUACGCCUCAAUCAAUAAUUAAAAAUAAUAUCAUGAAAAUAAACUCGAACAACAAGCUCAAAAUGUAAAGGCUGAAUGAAAUUCAACAUAGUUUCAAAAUAUUUUAAAUUUCAUUGGCGAAUUAAACUAGGAUGUAUAGGGGGAAAAUAUUUCAAACUGACCCGGCAGUAAACCCGUCCCACCCGACCACCGUUUUUUUUUUUUUUUUUUUUUUUUUUUUUUUUAAACUGGGUUGCAUAAGAUAGACCAACUUGAUUGGUCGAGCUCAAAACUUCAAUUCGAUCCGCUUAAAAUAUUAAGCUAAACAUGACUGGUCGAUGAGUUUGCCACACCUAGUUGAAUAUCUACUUUCGACAAAUCAACUACAAUUCCCCCUUUUAAAAUCACAUGGCCGAGGAAACUUACUCGUACUUCGAUAUUUUAACAAACAUGUUCUUGUUCGUUUGAUCACUUGCAACGUUGUUCUGAAUGUGUUAAACCUAAAUCAUAGAACUUGACAAUUGUUAGCUCAAACCUUUAGUUUGCUUGGGUUUUGGUAUGUAGUUUUUUUUUCCUUUGCCUAGCUGGUUUUGACAGAGGUUCACAAUAAUUCUAAAAGACCACUGUGGGUAAGCCGUACAAAACCCGUUCUACGGGUGGUAAUUCUUCUUCUGAUCAAUGAUUGUUUUGUACUGGAAUAUCCGUGGUUUUGGUAACUCGGACACUAGAAUUGCCUUAAAAAAUAUUAUUUGUCUCAUAGGCUUGUGAUUAUUUUUUUGGCUAAAACGAUGAUUAGUUUUUGCAAGUUCCUUCAUGGUGUUGGCAUAUGCGUCGCUGGUCCCGGUUUUACUUCGCAAUCAGUGGCACAAUGCACGCUCUCUUGGUAUUUAGGUUAUAUCCUCUCACGUUUUCCGUGAAGCUAACGCUUAUGCUGACAGGUUGGCUUCUAGGGGUCACUCGGUUGAUGGUGCAGCUUGGUUGUCUAUUUUACCUUCUGAUUUUCAGCCGGAUUUUUGUUCGGACCGCUGUGGUUUGCCUAUGUUGAGAUUUCCGUAGGCGGUUGUUGUUAUUUUUUUAUUUUUUAUUUUUUUUCUAUUUCUAUUUCUAUUUCUUUUCUGUUUUUGUUUCUUGUUUUUCUUCAAGGGUUUUGGCCUAAUUCCCCCUCUUGUAUUUUCCCCUUUUUUUAAUAAUAUUUUGAGAUUGACGGUAGAGGAUGGGGCUUCAUCGGGGUGCCAACCUAGUUGGGAUGUCGUUGUAAUUUCCCCUUGAUGCAUGUCCUUUCUCCUGGUUUAGUGAGAGAAAAACAAAAACAUUGUAAUCAUACUCUGAACAUUUUGUGUUAUGUAAUUUUGACACUUCUUGUGCAUCUCACAAUGCUUAUUUCGUAAGUAAUAUUCUCCAUUUUGUUUUGUUAAAAAAAUAAAUUUGAUCAAGUAUUUAUCCCUGUAAAAGACAUGUACCUUGAAUAAGAUCCUCAUACUUAGAUGUUCCAGCUCUAGUCAAAGCAAGCAUCACCAAUUAUCUUCAGGAAAUUGGCUUCUGGCUUCUUCUUCACUCACACAACAACAUUAGCUUUUUCAAUUUUCCCUUAUGGACAAUCAUGACUAAUAUGUAUGGACAUCAUCUACAUCAUCUUCAUCCAUCUUAGAUCUCCUUCAGGAUCAAAGGAACCCUUAAAAGAUGCAAAGAAACUCCUUUCGAACUAAGCAAAAGUAGAGUAAGCAGGUUGUGUCGCAUGGCGAUUCAGAUAGCUUUUUACAAUUUAAGCAAGACAUGUGAUAGCAUUGUCACCAUUCUGAGUAUUUUUGCUAACCAUUUUGUGAUCGAACAAAGAGAGAGAUUGGGAAUAUCAUAGAAGAAAGGGUUUGAGAGAGAAUUGAAGAGAAUCAAAGUAUUUGUUUAUUAAUUGAAUGAAUUUCAUUACAUGUAACUACCUCAUAGUGAUCUAUAUUUAUACUACAAACAAAUGCUUAACAAACUUCAACAAAAUUUCUAACUAACUGAGUUUACUUGUUCAACAAGUAACUCCCUUAACUUCUAAUCUUGAACUAACUAACUAACCAACUGAAUUAUAACACCCUAACACACCUCCUAAUUCAUUAGUUAGUGACUUCAACCAUGCCUAACUUGUUCCUCAAGUAUUAAAAGCUUACCAUUGUUGACUUGAUCCCUAAGAAAAUGAAAAUGUGUCUCAGUGUGUUGGUUCUGCCAUGAGCCACUAUAUGCUUAGCCAUUUCAAUUACAUACUUGUUGUCAAUCAACAAUUCCAUUUUCUUAUCUUCCUUCAUAUUCAUCUCUAGCAUAAGCAUGCUGAUCCAUUGAGCUUGUCAAGCAGCCAUUGAGACUGCUAUAUACUAAGCCUCACUGGAAGAUAGGGCAACUAUUCUUCCUUCUUAGAACUCCAUGAUACCGCUGCAUUACCAUACUUAAACACAUAUGCCACGGUGCAUUUCCUGUCAUCUUUGUCUCCACUCCAAUCAUAACCAGAGUAGCCAAACACUUCAUAGUUUUGAUUGUUGUGAUUCUUAGUGUAUAUCAUACCAUAGUUGCAAGUAACCUUCACAUAUUUGAUGAUUCACUUAGGCUUUGUUUGCGAGUUUGGAGGGGAAGAGAGGGGAGGGGUUUGAAAAAAAAAGAAGGAAGGAGCAAGUGGAAGAAAUAGAUGACAUUGAGAGGGGAAUGUUUUGGAGGGUUCAUUUUUCUUCAUAAAACAAAACCCUCCUCAUUUGGGGUAACUUAAAAAUUGUAUUGGAUGAGAGUUUUGGGGAGUUUUGGAGGACCAAGAAAUCACCCGACCUCGUACAUCUGUAACAGUCACAAUGGUAUUGUUGAAACUAGCUUGAACAUAAAUAACUGCCAUUUUUAUUAUUUAAAAAAAUAUAAGUCUGAAAUAUAUGGAUAUAUUCAUUUCCUAAACUCGAAAGGGUCUAGUUACUGACGUAUUGGUCUCAUCCCUUGAUAUGAGUUCUUACGCAUUGUAUUGCUAGAAAUAGCUUUUUAUGCUUGUUGUUGAUCAGGGAGCCGAUGACACUUGGAUUUGUUACCGUGUUGGCGGUCGAUCCAUUCGCCAUACUUACACUCUAACUGCUCUGUGUAGAUCUUCACUCUUCAUACUUUUUGUAACUUGGUUUCGCGCGCAUAAGCGGGUUCGCUGGAUUGCGCAUGUGAUUAAUGAUUUUUUGUUAGGAUAGAUUAGAGUUGAUCCAUUAGACUCUUCUUUCACGAUGUAUUCCUCGUUUGAUUAUUCCUGGGUCAGGUCUAAUGUCCAUCCAAUUUAUGCGUGUAGUGUAUCUAUUUAUUUUUCUUUAAUAUAUUUUCUAUUUAGCCUAAAAAAAAUAUGCCAUCUAUACCAACAAUUUUAUUCACCAUCGACAAAUUUCUUUUAGUGCCUAAUCAAUUGGACUGUACUCCUUCCUAAUCGAUCAAUCUCCGUCUUUUCCCCUCAUUUUUUCCCCGCAUCUAGUCGAUUAACAUAUGUUACCUAAGUGGUCCAAAGCCUAUAAUAGCCACAUAAAUUAGAAACAUAAUAUAAUCCUCUCUAAAUUAAUCAUCCAGAUCAACAACAACAAUCAUCAAUAUAACAUUGUAAACACAUCUAAUCAUGUGAUCAACAAUAUCAUCAACAUUAAUAAAACACUAAUCAUGAACACAUUCAUUAACUAAAUCACCAAUUCAUCGUUAAUUAUUUUGGCAACACGUCAUGAGAGAUUGUCCAAUGACAUAAAUCAAAUAGCCUGAUAUGAUCUCCCCACAACAAAACUAAUUAAAACAGGGGUCGUUAAAAUAUAAUCUCUUUCAUUAUCUUAAAGAGUAAAACCCACUCAGUACCUUAAUUGAGAAAAUAAAUAAUCACAUGAUUGAUUGAUUGAAUAAAAAGAUAGUCAUAAGGUGAACCUAUUGAGAAACCCAACCCCACUCAAAUUUAAUUGAGAAAAUACAAAAUCACAUGAUAGAAGAAGUUAAGAGUGUUAAGUGAUUUUUCAAGAAAGUUCUCUCAAAAAUCCUAAGGUACACAGAUUAUGAGAUAAAAAGUUUGACUUUCAUGAAAAGAUAAAUUUUAACUUUGAGCUAUCAUAAAUAAUUUUUCAAUAGAUUUGAAAGUUUAUUAUAAAAUUACACUUUUAUUGUCUAAUGUAUGUAAACAUCAUAUACUUUAUAUUCACCCUACUUUUAACUAAAUUUUUAAUUUAUAAUUAAACUCAAUUUUUUUUUUUGUCAAAUAGUCUACUGGCUAGAUUCACACAUGUUAUAUGUGAAGAAUUGGGGAAUUUAGGAUUCGAACCCCAACUCAUGCAUAAAUUAUUUUGGUAGCUACAUAAACUCAAUUUCUUUACCUACUCAAUUUCAAGUAGCCUAAAUGCUAUAUUUUUCAAUUAGGAAUGAAGAUUAUAGAGUAAACAAUGAUUAUUAUGGUGGUCCAAUGCAAGCAACAAAAAUCCAAAACUUUAUUUCAAAAGGAUUUUCAUAUAGUACAUCAUGUCCUUUCUUUCUUUUCACACCCGCACACGUAUAUAUAGAUUUAGAAAAGCAUCUGAAUCAAUUUAUUUCAACAUGAAAUAUAUUGGACCCAAACAAUAGCAUCACAUCAACACACACAAAUACAACAAAAACAUUCCAAUCAUAGGAGGGUUUGGACGUUCAACCGCUCUUCCUUUUACACUUGCAAGCGGGACCAUCACAAAAAACCACCCUUAAAAUAAAUAAAACAAACUCUCACAACUAAAAUAUUAUGUGUAGAGAGAAUCAAUAAUAACAAUAUCGCUCUUUAACACACAUUUUUCAACUGACUUCUUUCUACAUAUUGAAAUUUAUAUGAGACCAGUAUAUAUUUCAAUCAUCGAGAGUCUGAUGAAAAAUGCGUAAGAGAGGGUUUGUUUUCAAAUAGAAAUUUGACACCUCGAGGCUCGAGCAAUACCCUUAACACUCAGGGAUAAGAUUGUGGUUUCUUCUAGGGUCAUGACAAUAAUUAUACACCAUGUACUUGCUUUGGACCCAUUGCAUGGCCAUAUAUUGUUGAGGGCUAAGACUACCAUAUCCAGAUGGAGAGACAGAUGGUGAUUGGCAUGAGGCAGGACUUUGAAUGGUACAACCUUGUAAUUUGAAGUUAG